AGGGAAUUUGUCGCCAUCGUCAUCAUCAACCUUCCUCCAUCACCAAUUUCAUGAUGCUCACUGCCGUGCAUGAGUAAUUCCAUUGUAGGCUUGCUGGACGGUGAUGGGUUGGAUGAGAUUUAUCAUGUAAUCGAGUUAGUUUUGUUAGGGUUUGAUCCCUAGUAUCCACUAUGUUCCGAGAUUGAUGUAGUUAUGACUUUGCUAUGCUUAAUGCUUGUCACUAGGGCCCGAGUGCCAUGAUUUCAGAUCUGAACCUAUUAUGUUUUCAUCAAUAUGUGAGAGUUCUUGAUCCUAUCUUGCAAGUCUAUAGUCACCUAUUAUGUGUUAUGUGAUACGUCUCCAACGUAUCUAUAAUUUUCGAUUGUUCCAUGCUAUUAUAUUAUCAAACUUGGAUGUUUUAUAUGCACUUAUAUGCUAUUUUAUAUGAUUUUUGGGACUAACCUAUUAACCUAGAGCCCAGUGCCAGUUUCUGUUUUUCCUUGUUUUAGAGUAUCACAGAAAAAGGAAAAUCAAACGGAGUCCAAUUGACCUGAAACUUCAGGGAACUUAUUUUUGAACGAGAAGAAGCCCACGGAGUAUCGGAGAUGGACCAGAAGAGUCUCGGGCUGCCCACGAGGGUGGGGGGCGCGCCCACCCCCUGGGCGCGCCCCCUGCCUCUUGGACAGCCCGGAGAUCCACCAAUGUACUUAUUCCUCCUAUAUAUACCCAUAUACCCUAAAAACUUUGGGGAGCAGAAUAGAUCGGGAGUUUCGCCGCCAGAAGCCUCCGUAGCCACCGAAAACCAAUCUAGACCCAUUCCGGCACCCUGCCGGAGGGGGCAAUCCCUCUCCGGUGGCCAUCUUCAUCAUCCCGGUGCUCUCCAUGAUGUGGAGGGAGUAGUUCUCCCUCGGGGCUGAGGGUAUGUACCUGUAGCUAUGUGUUUGAUCUAUCUCUCUCUCUCUCUCUCUCUCGUGUUCUUGAGGUGGUACGAUCUUGAUGUAUCGCGAGCUUUGCUAUUAUAGUUGGAUCUUAUGAUGUUUCUCCCCCUCUACUCUUUUGUAAUGGAUUGAGUUUUCCCUUUGAAGUUAUCGGAUUGAGUCUUUAAGGAUUUGAGAACACUUGAUGUAUGUCUUGCGUGGGAUACCCGUGGUGACAAUGGGGUAUUCUAUUGAUCCACUUGAUGUAUGUUUUGGUGAUCAACGCGCGGGUUCCGCCCAUGAACCUAUGCAUAGGGGUUGGCACACGUUUUCGUCUUGACUCUCCGGUAGAAACUUUGGGGCACUCUUUGAAGUACUUUGUGUUGGUUGAAUAGAUGAAUCUGAGAUUGUGUGAUGCAUAUCGUAUAAUCAUACCCACGGAUACUUGAGGUGACAUUAGGGUUUUUGUUGAUUUGUGUCUUAAGGUGUUAUUCUAGUAUGAAAUCUAUGAUAGAUCGAACCGAAAGAAUAGCUUCAUGUUAUUUUACUAUGGACUCUUGAAUAGAUCAAUCAGAAAGGAUAACUUUGAGGUGGUUUCGUACCCUACCAUAAUCUCUCCGUUUGUUCUCUGCUAUUAGUGACUUUGGAGUGACUCUUUGUGGCAUGUUGAGGGAUAGUUAUAUGAUCCAAUUAUGUUAUUAUUGUUGAGAGAACUUGCACUAGUGAAAGUAUGAACCCUAGGCCUUGUUUCAACGCAUUUCAAUACCGUUUGUGCUCACUUUUAUCAUUAGUUACCUUGCUGUUUUUAUAUUUUCAGAUUACAAGAACCUUUAUCUACCAUCCAUAUGCCACUUGUAUCACCAUCUCUUCGCCAAACUAGUGCACCUAUACAAUUUACCAUUGUAUUGGGUGUGUUGGGGACACAUGAGACUCUUUGUUAUUUGGUUGCAGGGUUGCUUGAGAGAGACCAUCUUCAUCCUACGCCUCCCACGGAUUGAUAAACCUUGGGUCAUCCACUUGAGGGAAAUUUGGUACUAUCCUACAAACCUCUACACUUGGAGGCCCAACAAUGUCUACAAGAAGAAGGUUGAGUAGUAGACAUCAAGCUCUUUUCUGGUGUCAUUGCCGGGGGGGGGGUUAGCUCUUGAAGGUAUAUCUUUAGAUCUUGCAAUCGAAUCUUUUUGUUUCUUGUUUUAGCACUAGUUUAGUUUAUAAAAGAAAACUACAAAAAAAAUAUGGAAUUAAGUUUGCCACAUAUGCUUCAUCUUUUUAAUAUCUUUCGUGAGUAUGAUGGAAAGGAAAAUUGUUCCAAAGUGUUAGAAGAAGAAUGCAUUAAAAUGUUUGGCGCUAAAUAUUUGAAUGAUUAGCAUGAUUGCAAUUUUAUUAGUAUGAACUCUUUGAAUAUCCAUAGUACUAAUGAUGAUUGCACUAGUCACGAUGAGAAUCUCUCUUAUAAGCAUGUCGAUUUUUGUGGAGUACAUAGAGUUUGCAAGUACACACCAAUUAGGGAAGAUAGAUUUUGCAAGAGGCAUAAGUACUUAGAAACUAAAUGGUUGCAAGAAAGGCUAGAUGUUUGUGCUGAAAAUUUAAAUUUUCUUGGCUGUACUUGUGAACUUUGCAAUGAAUGUGGCCAUUUAACCAUCCGAUGCAAAUUGUUUCAUGAUCUAAUCGUUUCCAAAAAUCGUGAUUACUUGAUUUCUCUUGCACAUCAAAAUGAACUUAGUUUGCUUAUGGGUUAUGAAGAAAUGAAAUGCAUAACUAACUAUCUUCCAGUAUUUGCUCGUGAUAAACUUCUUGGUUUUGAUCUAGAGGAAAUUUAUAUGUAUUGUGCGGUGAAUUGUAUUGAAAAUCCUUAUAUUGACAACUACAUAAAGAAAAGAAAACAAAUAGAAGAUGAAGAGAAUACUAAUGAAAGGGAAGAGACUUCCCAAUAUCCUCCUAUUAUUUCUUAUGAUGAAUCAGGUAACGAGGAGGAGCCUUCUAUUCAACCAAUCUCAUUAAUAAGGAGCUCCAAAAAGAGGAUUGAACCCACACAUGAUGUGGUGAAGAAGAAGAAAAUAAAAAGCUAGAGAGGUAAAAAUAUAUCUCUCCCAAAUAAUGAUGCUCCUAUUACUGCUGUGCCUCAUGAAAAUAUAAUUGUGGAAGAUGAUGCACUUGAUGAUGAUCUCAUUAUGCCUAUUGCUUGUUGUGAUGAUUAUGAUUGGGAAGAUAAUGAUACUUCUUAUGAUCUUGAAAAUCUUUUUGGCACUUGCUUGGAAGAAUAUGAUAAUUGCUAUACUAUUGGUUCUAUCCAUACUAUUGAUGAUGAGAGUGAUGAUACGUCUCCAACGUAUCUAUAAUUUUUGAUUGCUCCAUGCUAUAUUAUCUACUGUUUUGGACAUUAUUGGGCUUUAUUAUCCACUUCUAUAUUAUUUUUGGGACUAACCUACUAACCGGAGGCCCAGCCUAGAAUUGUUGUUUUUUUGCCUAUUUUAGGGUUUCGAAGAAAAGGAAUAUCAAACGGAGUCCAAACGGAAUGAAACCUUCGGGAACGUGAUUUUCUCACCGAACAUGAUCCAGGAGACUUGGACCCUACGUCAAGACACAAAAGAGGAGGCCACGAGGUAGGGGGCGCACCUACCCCCCCCCCAGGCGCGCCCUCCACCCUCGUGGGCCCCCUAUUGCUCCAUCGACGUACUCCUUCCUCCUAUAUAUACCUACGUACCCCCAAACGAUCGGAGACGGAGCCAAAACCCUAAUUCCACCAUCGCAACUUUCUGUAUCCACGAGAUCCCAUCUUGGGGUCUGUUCCGGAGCUCCGCCAGAGGGGGCAUCGAUCACGGAGGGCUUCAACAUCAUCACCAUAGCCCCUCUGAUGAAGUGUGAGUAGUUUACCUCAGACCUACGGGUCCACAGUUAUUAGCUAGAUGGCUUCUUCUCUCUUUUUGGAUCUCAAUACAAUGUUCUCCCCCUCUCUUGUGGAGAUCUAUUCGAUGUAAUCUUGUUUUUACGGUGUGUUUGUUGAGACCGAUGAAUUGUGGGUUUAUGAUCAAGUCUAUCUAUGAACAAUAUUUGAAUCUUCUCUGAAUUCUUUUAUGUAUGAUUGGUUAUCUUUGCAAGUCUCCUCAAAUUAUCAGUUUGGUUUGGCCUACUAGAUUGAUCUUUCUUGCAAUGGGAGAAGUGCUUAGCUUUGGGUUCAAUCUUGCGGUGUCCUUUCCCAGUGACAGUAGGGGCAGCAAGGCACGUAUUGUAUUGUUUCCAUCGAGGAUAACAAGAUGGGGUUAUCAUCAUAUUGCAUGACUUUACCCCUCUACAUCAUGUCAUCUUGCUUAAGGCGUUACUCUAUUUUCAUUAAGUUAAUACUCUAGAUGCAUGUUGGAUAGCGGUCGAUGAGUGGAGUAAUAGUAGUAGAUGCAGGCAGGAGUCGGUCUACUUAUCUCGGACGUGAAGCCUAUAUACAUGAUCAUGCCUAGAUAUUCUCAUAACUAUGCUCAGUUUUGUCAAUUGCUCAACAGUAAUUUGUCCACCCACCAUAGAAUACUUAUGCUCUUGAGAGAAGCCACUAGUGAAACCUAUGGCCCCCGGGUCUAUCUUCAUCAUAUUAAUCUUCCAAUACUUUGUUAUUUACUUUGCUUUUAUUUUACUUUGCAUCUUUAUCAUAAAAAAUACCAAAAAUAUUAUCUUAUCAUAUCUAUCAGAUCUCACUCUCGUAAGUGGUCGUGUAGGGAUUGACAACCCCUUAUCGUGUUGGUUGCGAGGAUUUAUUUGUUUUGUGCAGGUAUGAGGGACUCGCGCGUAGCCUCCUACUGGAUUGAUACCUUGGUUCUCAAAAACUGAGGGAAAUACUUACGCUACUCUGAUGCAUCAUCCCUUCCUCUUCGGGGAAAAACCAACAUUGUGAUCAAGAGGUAGCAAGAAGGAUUUCUGGCGCCGUUGCCGGGGAGUCUACGCAAAAGUCAAUAUACCAAGUACACAUCACAAUCCCUAUCUCCCGCAUUACAUUAUUUGCCAUCUGCCUCUCGUUUUCCUCUCCCCCACUUCACCCUUGUCGUUUUAUUCGCCCUCUCUCUCUCUAUCCUCCCUCUCUUUCUCUAUUUGCCUCUUUUUGCCCGCUUGCUUUUUGUUUGCUUGUCGUUAUGGCUAGUCCCUUAUCUUCUCCGUUGUCUCCCGAGAAUGAAAUUCUAAAUUUUAAGCAAAGACUAGGAGAAAACUUAAAAGAUGUCUGGUCGAGGAUAAUGGAGUCUUAUCGUAAUUGUACUUUUGAAGUGAACCUUAGAAUUUUGCUUCGCUAUUUCUAUGUUGGAUUAAAUAUGUCUCAUAGACAACUCUUGGAUUGCGUUGCGAAAGGCAAUUUUAUUGAAAUUGAUCCCCAUAUUGCGCUUGAAAUUAUAGAAGGUACUGGGAACACUACCUCAACAAAAAGGGCCUCAUCCUACCCAGGAAGAGACACAAGUUUUUGAACAAAUUUGUGAAGUCACUAAGAUUUUACAGAAGUCUCUUGAACCUCUUAAGAACGUUAGCGGAAAUAUCAACCGCAUGAAUAUGUUGAUUACUCUUUCAAUAAGUGGUUGGAUUCUUUAGACCUAAAAAUUUCAGAAUAUGAAGGGAAACAUAAAGAACCUCCCGGAUUCGAGCUUGAUUCCGCUAAAAAGUUGAAAACCAAAGAUGGCAAUACCUAGAUCUAUCCUUGCUUUUUAUGCCUAGCUAGGGGCAUUAAACGAUAGCGCUUGUUGGGAGGCAACCCAAUUUUAUUUUUAUUCCUUGCUUUUCGCUCCUGUUUAGUAAUAAAUAGUUUAUCUAGCCUUUGUUUAGGUUGUGUUUUUUGUGUUUAAUUAGUGUUUGUGCCAAGUAGAACCGUUGGGAAGACUUGGGGAAAGUCUUGUUAAUCUUGCUUUAAAAAACAGAAACUUUAGCGCUCAUAGAACUGCUGCCAUUUUUAUUUGGAAAGUGCUAUUUAGUUAAUUAUUUUUGCAGAUGAUUAAUAGAUAAAUUCCUCACGUCCAGAAAUUUAUUUUAGAAUUUUUGGGGUUCCAGAUCUUGCGCUAGCUACAUAUUACUACAGACUGUUCUGUUUUUUACAGAUUCUGUUUUUCAUGUGUUGUUUGCUUGUUUUGAUGAAUCUAUGGCUAGUAAAAUAGUUUAUAAACCAUAGAGAAGUUGGAAUAAAGUAGGUUGAACACCAAUAUAAAUAAAGAAUGAGUUAAUUACAGUACCUUGAAGUGGUCUUUUGUUUUCUUUCACUAACGGAGCUCACGAGAUUUUCUACUUUAAGUUUUGUGUUGUGAAGUUUUCAAGUUUUGGGUAAAGAUUUGAUGGAUUAUGGAACAAGGAGUGGCAAGAUCCUAAGCUUGGGGAUGCCCAUGUCACCCCCAAGAUAAUCUAAGGACACCUAAAAGCCAAAGCUUGGGGAUGCCCCGGAAGGCAUCCCCUCUUUUCGUCUACUUCUAUCGGUAACUUUACUUGGAGCUAUAUUUUUAUUCACCACAUGAUAUAUGUUUUGCUUGGAGCGUCUUGUAUUAUUUGAUUCUUUAUUUGUUAGUUUACCACAAUCAUCCUUGCUGUACACACCUUUUGAGAGAGCCAUACAUGAUUUGGAAUUUGUUAGAAUACUCUAUGUGCUUCGCUUAUAUCUUUUGAGUUAUAUAGGUUUGCUCUAGUACUUCACUUAUAUCUUUUAGAGCACGGUGGUGGAUUUGUUUUAUAGAAACUAUUGAUCUCUCGUGAUUCACUUAGAUUAUUUUGAGAGUCUUAAAUAGCAUGGUAAUUUGAUUAAAUAAUCCUCAUAUGCUAGGUAUUCAAGAUUAGUAAAAAACUUUCCUAGGAAUGUUUUGAAUACUAAGAGAUGUUUGAUGCUUGAUGACUAUUUUGAGAUAUGGAGGUAAUAAUAUCAAAGUCGUGCUAGUUGAGUAGUUGUGAAUUUGAGAAGUGCUUGUGUUGAAGUUUGCAAGUCCCGUAGCAUGCACGUAUGGUAAAUGUUAUGUAACAAAUUUGAAACAUGAGGUGUUUUUUGAUUGUCUUCCUUAUGAGUGGCGACUGGGGACGAGCGAUGGUCUUUUCCUACCAAUCUAUCCCCCUAGGAGCAUGCGCGUAGUGCCUAGGUUUUUGAUGACUUGUAGAUUUUUGCAAUAAGUAUGUGAGUUCUUUAUGACUAAUGUUGAGUCCAUGGAUUAUACGCACUCUCACCCUUCCAUCAUUGCUAGCCUCUUCGGUACCGUGCAUUGCCCUUUCUCGCAUUGAGAGUUGGUGCAAACUUUGCCGGUGCAUCCAAACCCCGUGAUAUGAUACACUCUUUCACACAUAAACCUCCUUAUAUCUUCCUCAAAACAGUCACCAUACCUACCUAUUAUGGCAUUUCCAUAGCCAUUCCGAGAUAUAUUGACAUGCAACUUUCCACCAUUCCGUUUAUCAUGACACAUUCAUCAUUGUCAUAUUGCUUAUCAUGAUCAUGUAGUUGACAUAGUAUUUGUGGCAAAGCCACCAUUCAUAAUUCCUUCAUACAUGUCACUCUUGAUUCAUUGCAUAUCCCGGUACACCGUCGGAGGCAUUCAUAUAGAGUCAUCUUUUGUUCUAGCAUCGAGUUGUAAUCAUUGAGUUGUAAAUAAAUAGAAGUGUGAUGAUCAUCAUUUUCUAGAGCAUUGUCCCAAGUGAGGAAAUAAAUUAAAAAAAGGAGAAAGGCCUUAAAAAAGGAGAAAGGCCUAAAUAAAAAAAGAGAGAAAAAGAGAGAAGGGACAAUGUUACUAUCAUUUGCCACACUUGUGCUUCAAAGUAGCACCAUAAUAUUCAUGAUAGAGAGUAUUUUGUUUUGUCACUUUCAUAUACUAGUGGGAAAUUUUCAUUAUAGAACUUGGCUUGUAUAUUCCUAUAAUGGGCCUCCUCAAGUGCCCUAGGUCUCUGUGAGCAAGCAAGUUGGAUGCACACCCACUUAGUUUCUUUUGUUGAGCUUUCAUACAUUUAUAGCUCUAGUGCAUCCGUUGCAUGGCAAUCCCUACUCCUUGCAUUAACAUCAAUCGAUGGGCAUCUCCAUAGCCCGUUGAUUAGCCUCGUUGGUGUGAGACUAUCUCCUUUUUUGUCUUCUCCACAUAACCCCCAUCAUCAUAUUCUAUUCCACCCAUAGUGCUAUGUCCAUGGCUCGCGCUCAUAUAUUGCGUGAAAGUUUAUAGGUUUGAGAUUGCUAAGGUAUGAAACAAUUGCUUAGCUUGUCAUCGGGGUUGUGCAUGAUGAGAGCAUUCUUGUGUGACGAAAAUGGGGCAUGACUAAACUAUAUGAUUUUGUAGGGAUGAACUUUGUUUGGCCAUGUUAUUUUGAGAAGACAUAAUUGCUUAGUUAGUAUGCUCGAAGUAUUAUUAAUUUUAUGUCAAUAUGAACUUUUGUCUUGAAUCUUUCGGAUCUGAAUAUUCAUACCACAAUUAAGAAGAAUUACAUUAAAAUUAUGCCAAGUAGCACUCCGCAUCCAAAAUUCUGUUUUUAUCAUUUACCUACUCGAGGACGAGCAGGAAUUAAGCUUGGGGAUGCUUGAUACGUCUCCAACGUAUCUAUAAUUUUUGAUUGCUCCAUGCUAUAUUAUCUACUAUUUUGGACAUUAUUGGGAUUUAUUAUCCACUUUUAUAUUAUUUUUGGGACUAACCUACUAACCGGAGGCCCAGCCGAGAAUUGCUAUUUUUUGUGCCUAUUUUAGCGUUUCGAAGAAAAGGAAUAUCAAACGGAGUCCAAACGGAAUGAAACCUUCGGGAACGUGAUUUUCUCAACGAACAUGAUCCAGGAGACUUGGAACCUACGUCAAGACAAAAAAGAGGAGGCCACGAGGUAGGGGGCGUGCCUACCCCCCCCCCUCGCCCAGGCGCGCCCUCCACCCUUGUGGGCCCCCUGUUGCUCCACCGACGUACUCCUUCCUCCUAUAUAUACCUACGUACCCCCAAUAGAUUGGAGACAGAGCCAAAACUCUAAUUCCACCGCCGCAACUUUCUGUGUCCACGAGAUCCCAUCUUGGGGCCUAUUCCGGAGCUCCGCCGGAGGGGGCAUCGAUCACGGAGGGCUUCUACAUCAUCACCAUAGCCCCUCCGAUGAAGUGUGAGUAGUUUACCUCAGACCUACAGGUCCAUAGUUAUUAGCUAGAUGGCUUCUUCUCUCUUUUUGGAUCUCAAUACAAUGUUCUCCCCCUCUCUUGUGGAGAUCUAUUCGAUGUAUUCUUCUUUUUGCGGUGUGUUUGUUGAGACCGAUGAAUUGUGGGUUUAUGAUCAAGUCUAUCUAUGAACAAUAUUUGAAUCUUCUCUGAAUUCUUUUAUGUAUGAUUGGUUAUCUUUGCAAGUCUCUUUGAAUUAUCAGUUUGGUUUGGCCUACUAGAUUGAUCUUUCUUGCAAUGGGAGAAGUGCUUAGCUUUGGGUUCAAUCUUGCGGUGUCCUUUCCUAGUGACAGUAGGGGCAGCAAGGCACGUAUUGUAUUGUUGCCAUCGAGGAUAACAAGAUGGGGUUUUCAUCAUAUUGCAUGAGUUUAUCCCACUACAUCAUGUCAUCUUGCUUAAGGCGUUACUCUGUUUUCAUUAACUUAAUACUCCAGAUGCAUGCUGGAUAGCGGUCGAUGAGUGGAGUAAUAGUAGUAGAUGCAGGCAGGAGCCGGUCUACUUGUCUCGGACGUGAUGCCUAUAUACAUGAUCAUGCCUAGAUAUUCUCAUAACUAUGCUCAAUUCUGUCAAUUGCUCAACAGUAAUUUGUUCACCCACCGUAGAAUACUAAUGCUCCUGAGAGAAGCCACUAGUGAAACCUAUGGCCCCCGGGUCUAUCUUCAUCAUAUUAAUCUUCCAAUACUUUGUUAUUUACUUUGCUUUUAUUUUACUUUGCAUCUUUAUCAUAAAAAAUACCAAAAAUAUUAUCUUAUCAUAUCUAUCAGAUCUCACUCUCGUAAGUGGCCGUGUAGGGAUUGACAACCCCUUAUCGCGUUGGUUGCGAGGAUUUAUUUGUUUUGUGCAGGUACGAGGGACUCGCGCAUAGCCUCCUACUGGAUUGAUACCUUGGUUCUCAAAAACUGAGGGAAAUACAUAUGCUACUCUGCUGCACCAUUCCUUCCUCUUCGGGGAAAAACCAACGCAGUUCUCAAGAGGUAGCAAGUGAUUAUGCUUAUGAUAUGAAAAGGCCCAAGCUUGGGGAUGCUAUGUUUAAGGAAGAUGAUAUUUUUAGCUUGCCAAGUUUUGAUGAGCAAAUUUAUUAUGAUGAUAGCAUGCCUCCUACUUAUGAUGAUUAUAUUGAUGAAAGUGGGUUUGGAAGAGUGUCAACUUUAGGAAGUAAUGAUCCCACUAUUUUGGAGGAUGUUGAAUCUUAUUAUGAUAAUUAUGUAAGUGGAUUUGGAGAGGUCAUGACUUUAUUUAGUGAUGAUUCCACUAUCUUGGAAGAGGUUUCAAUCGAUUAUGAUGAGAACAAAGUUGCUACUUAUGAUAAUUAUUGUGAUGAUACAUAUGCUAUAAAAAGUAGUGAUGAUUAUAUUUAUAAAACUUGUCAUGAUUAUGAUUACCCUUUUUAUGAACAUUACUCUUUUAAUGUCGAAACAAUUUAUAGUAUUCGAGUCUCUUAUGAUACUCCCACUAUUCUAAUUGAGAAGAAUUUUGCUUAUGUGGAGAGUAGUAAAUUUUCUAUGCUUGUAGAUCAUGAAAAGAAUAAUUUAUGUGAUGGUUAUAUUGUUGAAUUCAUUCAUGAUGCUACUGAAAAUUAUUGUGAGGGAGGAAUAUAUGCUUGUAGGAAUUGCAAUAAUAUCAAGUUUCCUCUCUAUGUGCUUAAAGUUUUGAAGUUAUGCUUGUUUUACCUUCCUAUGCUAGUUGAUUAUUGUUCCCACAAGUUGUUGGCUCACAAAAUCUCUAUGCAUAGGAAGUGGGUUAGACUUAAAUGUGCUAGUCAUAUUCUUCAUGAUGCUCUCUUUAUGUUUCAAUUCUUAUCCUUUAUGUGAGCAUCAUUGAAAUCAUCAUGCCUAGCUAGGGGCGUUAAACGUUAGCGCUUGUUGGGAGGCAACCCAAUUUUAUUUUUGUUAUUUUCUUUUUGCUCCUGUUUAGUAAUAAAUAAUUUAUCUAUCCUCUGUUAUGAUUGAUUUUUUAUGUUUUAAUUAGUGUUUGUGCCAAUUAGAACCGUUGGGAAGACUUGGGGAAAGUCUUUUUGAUCUUGUUGUACAAAAACAGAAACUUUAGCGCUCACGAGAAUUUCUGCCAAUUUUUAUUUGGAAAAUGAUAUUUUGUUAAUUAUUUUUGAAUAUUAUUAAUAGAUAAAUUCCUCAUGUCCAACAAUUUAUUUUAGAAUUUUUGGGGUUCCAGAACUUGCGUUAGCUACAGAUUACUACAGACUGUUCUGUUUUUGACAUAUUCUGUUUUUCAUGUGUUGUUUGCUUAUUUUGAUGAAUCUGUGGCUAGUAAAAGAGUUUAUAAACCAUAUAUAAGUUGGAAUAGAGUAGGUUUAACACCAAUAUAAAUAAAGAAUGAGUUCAUUACAAUACCUUGAAGUGGUGUUUUGUUUUCUUUCGCCAAUGGAGCUUAUGAGUUUUCUGUUAAGUUUUGUGUUGUGAAGUUUUCAAGUUUUGGGUAAAGAUUUGAUGGACUAUGGAAUAAGGAGUGGCAAGAGACUAAGCUUGGGGAUGCCCAAGGCACCCCAAGGUAAUAUUCAAGGACAACCAAGAGCCUAAGCUUCGGGAUGCCCCGGAUGGCAUCCCCUGUUUCGUCUUCAUUCAUCGGUAACUUUACUUGGAGCUAUAUUUUUAUUCGCCACAUGAUAUGUGUUUUGCUUGGAGAGUCAUUUUAUUUUAUUUAGUUUUGCUUGGAGCCACAUGAUUCAUCAUUUUCAUAUUUCUACGCAUGAUCAUGUAGUUCCAUCGUAUUUGUGGCAAAGCCACCAUUCAUAAUUCUUUCAUACAUGUCACUCAUGAGUCAUUGCACAUCCCGGUACACCGCCGGAAGCAUUCACAUAGAGUCAUAUUUUGUUCUAAGUAUUGAGUUGUAAUUGUUGAGUUGUAAGUAAAUAAAAGUGUGAUGAUCAUCAUUAUUAGAGCAUUGUUCCAGUGAGGAAAGGAUGAUGGAGACUAUGAUUCCCCCACAAGUCGGGAUGAGACUCCGGACUAAAAAAAGAGAAAAAAGAGGCCAAAGAAGAAGAAGAAGAAGAAGAAGAAGAAGAGAAGGCCCAAAAAAACAAAAAAACAAAUAAAUGAGAGAAAAAGAGAGAAGGGGCAAUGCUACUAUCCUUUUACCACACUUGUGCUUCAAAGUAGCACCAUGAUCUUCAUGAUAGAGAGUCUCUUAUGUUGUUUCUUUCAUAUACUAGUGGGAAUCUUUCAAUAUAGAACUUGGCUUGUAUAUUCCAAUGAUGGGCUUCCUCAAAAUGCCCUAGGUCUUCAUGAUCAAGCAAGUUGGAUGCACACCCACUAGUUUCUUUUGUUGAGCUUUCAUACACUUAUAGCUCUAGUGCAUUCGUUGCAUGGCAAUCCCUACUCACUCGCAUUGAUAUCUAUUGAUAGGCAUCUCCAUAGCCCGUUGAUACGCCUAGUUGAUGUGAGACUAUCUUCUCCCUUUUUGUCUUCUCCACAACCACCCUUCUAUUCCACAUAUAGUGCUAUGUCCAUGGCUCCCGCUCAUGUAUUGCGGGAAGAUUGAAAAAGUUUGAGAACAUCAAAAGUAUGAAACAAUUGCUUGGCUUGUCAUCGGGGUUGUGCAUGAUUAAAAUAUUUUGUGUGGUGAAGAUAGAACAUAGCCAGACUAUAUGAUUUUGUAGGGAUAGCUUCCUUUGGCCAUGUUAUUUUGAGAAGACACGAUUGCUUUGUUAGUAUGCUUGAAGUAUUAUUAUUUUUAUGUCAAUAUUAAAAUUUUGUCUUGAAUCUUACGGAUCUGAAUAUUCUUGCCACAAUAAAGAGAACUACAUGGACAAAUAUGUUAGGUAGCAUUCCACAUCAAGAAUUCUGUUUUUAUCAUUUACCUACUCGAGGACGAGCAGGAAUUAAGCUUGGGCAUGCUGAUACGUCUCCAACGUAUCUAUAAUUUUUUAUUGUUCCAUGCUAUUAUAUUAUCAAGCUUGGAUGUUUUAUAUGCAUUUACAUGAUAUUUUAUAUGAUUUUUGGGACUAACCUAUUAACCUAGAGCCCAGUGCCAGUUUCUGUUUUUUCCUUGUUUUAGAGUAUCGCAGAAAAGGAAAACCAAACGGAGGCUAAUUGACCUGAAACUUCACGGAACUUAUUUUUGGACCAGAAGAAGCCCACGGAGUAUCGGAGAUGGACCAGAAGAGUCCCGAGUUGCCCACGAGGAUGGGGGCGCGCCCACCCCCCUGGGCGUGCCCCCCUGCCUCGUGGACAGCCCGGAGAUCCACCGACGUACUUCUUCCUCCUAUAUAUACCCAUAUACCCUAAAAACUUCGGGGAGCAGAAUAGAUCGGGAGUUCCGCCGCCACAAGCCUCCGUAGCCACCGAAAACCAAUCUAGACCCGUUUCGGCACCCUGCCGGAGGGGGCAAUCCCUCUCCGGUGGCCAUUUUCAUCAUCCCGGUGCUCUCCAUGACGAGGAGGGAGUAGUUCUCCCUCGGGGGUGAGGGUAUGUACCUAUAGCUAUGUGUUUGAUCUCUCUCUCUCUCUCUUGUGUUCUUGAGGUGGUACAAUCUUGAUGUAUCGCGAGCUUUGCUAUUAUAGUUGGAUCUUAUGAUGUUUCUCCCCCUCUACUCUCUUGUAAUGGAUUGAGUUUUCCCUUUGAAGUUAUCUUAUCAGAUUGAGUCUUUAAGGAUUUGAGAACACUUGAUGUAUGUCUUGUGUGGGAUACCCGUGGUGACAAUGGGGUAUUCUAUUGAUCCACUUGAUGUAUGUUUUGGUGAUCAACUUGCGGGUUCCGCCCAUGAACCUAUGCAUAGGGGUUGGCACAUGUUGUCGUCUUGAGUCUCCGGUAGAAACUUUGUGGCACUCUUUGAAGUACUUUGUGUUGGUUGAAUAGAUGAAUCUGAGAUUGUGUGAUGCAUAUCGUAUAAUCAUACCCACGGAUACUUGAGGUGACAUUGGAGUAUCUAGGUGACAUUAGGGUUUUGGUUGAUUUUUGUCUUAAGGUGUUAUUCUAGUACGAACUCUAUGAUAGGUCGAAUGGAAAGAAUAGCUUCAUGUUAUUUUACUACGGACUCUUGAAUAGAUCGAUCAGAAAGGAUAAAUUUGAGGUGGUUUCGUACCCUACCAUAAUCUCUUCGUUUGUUCUCCGCUAUUAGUGACUUUGGAGUGACUCUUUGUUGCAUGUUGAGGGAUAGUUAUAUGAUCCAAUUAUGUUAUUAUUGUUGAGAGAACUUGCAUUAGUGAAAGUAUGAACCCUAGGUCUUGUUUCAACGCAUUGCAAUACCGUUUGUGCUCACUUUUAUCAUUAGUUACCUUGCUGUUUUUAUAUUUUCAGAUUACAAGAACCUUUAUCUACCAUCCAUAUACCACUUGUAUCACCAUCUCUUCGCCAAACUAGUGCACCUAUACAAUUUACCAUUGUAUUGGGUGUGUUGGGGACACAAGAGAAUCUUUGUUAUUUGGUUGCAGGGUUGCUUAAGAGAGACCAUCUUCAUCAUACGCCUCCCACGGAUUGAUAAACCUUAGGUCAUGCACUUGACGGAAAUUUGCUAAUGUCCUACAAACCUCUGCACUUGGAGGCCCAACAACGUCUAGAAGAAGAAGGUUGAGUAGUAGACAUCAUUAUGAUCCGUUAACCCCGAAGUGACAAUAAUCUGGAUACUUACUGGUGAUGAUCGUAGUUUGAGGAGUUCAUGUUUUCACUAUGUGUUAAUGCUUUGGUCUGGUACUCUAUUAAAAGGAGGCCUUAAUAUCCCUUAGUUUCCACUUGGAUCUCGCUGCCACGGGAGGGUAGGACAAAAGAUGUCAUGCAAGUUCUUUUCCAUAAGCACGUAUGACUAUAUUCGGAAUACUGAUACGUCUCCGUCGUAUCUAUAAUUUUUGAUUGUUCCAUGCCAAUAUUAUUCAACUUUCAUAUACUUUUGGCAACUUUUUAUACUAUUUUUGGGACUAACAUAUUGAUCCAGUACCGAGUGCCAGUUGUUGUUUGUUGCUUGUUUUUUGUUUCGUAGAAUAUCCAUAUCAACGGAGUCCAAACGGAAUAAAAACUGACGGAGAUUUUUUUGGAAUAUAUAUGAAUUUUGGGAAGAAGGAUCCACGCGAGACGAUGCUCGAGGGGCCCACGAGGUAGGGGGCACGCCCCAGGGUGUCAGGCGCGCCCCUGACCCUCGUGGCCACCUCGUAAGGCGGUUUGUAACAUCCCAAAUUUUCAAUUUGGAAUGUUAUACAUUAGAUCAUCAUGCAUAUCAUAUUUUAUUUUGCAUUUUGGUUGAUCCUAGAAAUUCUACGCAACUCAAUGACCCACGGAGAGAGUUGGGGAUUUCGUUAUUUUCAUAUUUGAGUUUUCUCAAAUUUUCAGAAUAGGAUCAUUUGAUUUUAUUUAUUUUAUCAUCAAUUAUUUCUACUACAAAAAUAUGAGAGAGGGAAUAAAAUGACUUUCCCAAAAUAAAGAAAUAUUGGGGAUUUAAUAAAAAAUCAAAUAAGAUUUUAUUUUGGAGUUUUUCGGUGUUUUAUUUGAAUUUAGGAAAAAUGUGCGUUUUUCAAAAUUGCAUUUAGGGCCCAAAUAAAUGUUCACCUUGUGCGGCUUGAGUUUAGAAGCCCGUGAAAAUUUAUUUCGGAAUUAUUGGAGUCCGUUUAGUAUUUCUUUUUAUUUUUCUUCCGAGCGGAAUAUUAAAAAAACGAACCGACUUCGGGCCGUACCCGAGCGGGACACUGCCCGGGGACAGCCUUUAAAUAGCGCCGCCCCAGCCAAUCAGCCCCGCCUCGAUCCGCGCACGCCGCCGGAGCCGCCGCCGCCGACGACGACGAUUCCGCCGCCCGAGGUUCGUAGCGCCUCGUUUUCCAUGCCGAAAAAAAAGAGAAAAAAAUCGGCGUUCGUCAUUUUUCUUUUUCUCGGAUUAAAUCCAUGAUUUUUCUGAUCGCGAUUCCUCAUCUGAUUUUCGUUUUAGUUUAACUUUUCGCUCGUUUAUCGGAAUCAGGCGAUUCAAGCGCCUAGAGUUUCGUCUCGAAACCCUCUAUCCUUUUAACCAACUUAAACAAGUUUUAGCUACUGUAAAAUUUGCCCUAGAUCCAGAUUACUAGAACAAAGUUGUUUUCCUUCGCCGUUCGUCUUUUGUUGCUUCAUUCGAUUUGAUUCUUUUUGCCAACCGGAGUUCUUAAGUUGAACCUUCUGGUUAGAUCUCUUAUUUGAGUUUUACCUAUGCAUUAGAUGAGUACUUAUUGUAUGCUUGUUUGUUUGUCUGCGAUAGAAUACCCGGAGUGCGCCGCCUGUUACUUCGAAUCGUUAGGUUUCGCGGAUCAUCAGCAAGGCAAGUAACACUUUGAUCAUACCUUUUCUACUACCCAGUUUUAUUGCAUUAGAUCAAUCCUCACACAUUGCAUGAUUACGAUCUAACUAAAUUGUGGGAUGGGAAGUAGUUGAGGUAGUACCUAUUACAUGUUUAUUAUCAAACCUUUGGGAGUUACUUCUACGUUUGCUUGUUAUGCCAUGCUACGCUAGUAGACGUGGAUUGGGUGAGUGAUAUCCAUGACAGAUGUGAGGUUGUUAAUUAAUGGUUUAUCUAAGGUGGCAACUUAAACACACAUCUGGGUGGAUUGAGGCACCUGGGUAUUCCAGGACUUUCCCUGUUUUCUUUUGGACCGCCACCGAGGCUCAAAGGGAUCAUGAGACUAUUCAUACUAGAAACUUCCAUGUGCAGCCACAAGCUAUUAUGGGCUCUAGCAUAGUUGACUAAGUCGUGCGAACUCUUAUAGUGGUAGACUAGCAGAUGUAGGGGAUGUAGGUGGUACGGUCUACCCAUCGUAAGGUGCUAGCGCUUCUGAAAGACUAUGUCUCGGUCAUCCGUCUUCUCAAACACCAUGUAGUGCGAGAAACCAAACGGAGGCGAUCGAGUCUUGUGGGGAAAAGUGUGCAAACCUCUGCAGAGUGUAAUAAACUAAUCAUGGUUAGCCGUGUCCCCGGUUAUGGACAUCUUGAGUAUCUAGUACUUGGAUUUUCAUGUGAAUCUCAACAUGUUACUCUAAAUUAAUUUUGUUGGGUUAUGUUUAAUGAUGAUGCUUAAUUGGGAUUGAGGAUGCUGUCAACCAUUCUCAAUGUUUAACAACCACCAUGAUAGUUAAAUAAAUCUAUUCCUUUGAAGUAGGGAAAAAUUGGCUUUAUGCAAAACUGUAACCAUAGAGCUUUCCACCAGCCAAAUAUGCAUAUAGUAUAGCUAUUUCAUUCCAUUACUCUCUAUGUGUUACCUUGCCAGCAUAUUCCAUGUGCUGACCCGUUUCGGGCUGCAACGUUAAUGUUGCAGACUUUUCAGACGACGGUUAAGGAGUUUUUAGGUCGUGGUUCUAUACUCAGUGAUGUCGUUGAAGUUGAUGGGCUCACUUAUCUUCCAAGCCUUCCGUUGUUAUCGUUAUUAGAUGGCCUUAAGCCAUAUUUAUUGUAAUAAGUUCUCUUUUGAGACACUCGAUGUAAUAAGUGUGUGAUUGCUACUCUUCUAUAAAUCCUCCGAGUACUGUGUGGUGUCAGCAUUACUGAUCCAGGGAUCACACCGGAGCACAGAGAUCAGACUGUUUGAGGUCUGGUCGCUACAGAGAUGGUAUCAGAGCACACGAUGACUGUAGGACACGACCACUAAGCUAAAGACCUAGAUCACUAUUCACUCUCUUCUCUUCUGACCUCUCAUCUUUUCUACUCUUUAGGAUGGCGGAUGCAAGGAACAAGUUCACACAACCGGAUGAAGAUACACCCUUUGGACGACACUUGAAGGAAGUCACUAGAUACCUGAACAUAGGAGUACCAAGCUUCACGGGAACCUACAAUGCCACUUUACCUGAAGAAGAGCGCUGGAUGAUUCAAGUUCAAGUUCCAGGAAGGACGUUCAUGCCAGUCACUGAGCCCAUAGAAUUUUCUUUUGAUGCACCAACUUGUAGUCUAGGAAAGAGCAUGGCAGCUCACAUCGCCAUGGGACGCAUUGGAGAAGUCUACCGCAAGGAUCUCAAGGAUACUAUCUACCAGAUUUGUGGGCGCCGAGAUGAACACUGGGAGAUGAUCAGCACCAGGAAGGAUAGAUCAAUCGCAGCUUUUAUCCAGGACUUAAAUCAGCACAUUCGACGACAGGAGAACCAGAUGUGCGCCGACAUGAUAGACCUGAAGAAGGCAAAGACUAGAAUCAAGGAACUAGAGGAAGAACUCAAGGCUACACGUGAAGAUUAUGAAGAGGAAAUUGAAGUAUUGGUGGAGAAGAAUGACGACCUGAUCAAGAAGAUUGGAAUAUUUAUGGGAGGCCCUACGCCAGUAGAUGAAGACGAAGAACCCCAGGAGAUUAGCCCGGAAGACUACAUCAUCAUCGACGGCACCGACUCAGAAGCAGAUAGUAGCGAUGAUGACUAUGUUGAUGAAGCUGGAGCAGAUAUCAUGGAGUCAACGACCGUAGAAUAUUUCUAGUAGACCACCUCAUCAGUAGUAGUAGUCCACCCUGUAAAUAUAGUAGUCCGAGCACUUCUGUGAUAGUUAGAUCGAUUGUAUGCCUUUGUUUGAUUGAUUGAAGUGAAUUGUUUGUUUUGCCUCAUGUGCAUAUGGGUAGUGUUUUCUCUUUAGACCCCCACUAUUCUUAUAUCUCAUCUCUUCUAAAACCCUCAGAUGCCUCCGAGACGUGUCCCCGGAUUUGCCUUUCCACCGGAGCUCACCCAGUUGAUCCAACAGCAGAACACAUUGAUGCAGUUGCUAGUCCAGAAUCAGAAUCAGGGGAUUUGUGGGUAAGUAUAACCUACCAACCCAAGCCCUUAGGUCACCCAUGUUAGUAACCUCGCCCGGAGCAGAGUAUGUGGCUAGUCUAUGGUGUGAUCGGUUACCAUUAAGGAUUGGUAACUAUGUUUUUCCCUCAGACCUAAUAGUAUUGGAAUCUCAAGGAUUGGAUGUGAUAUUAGGCAUGGAUUGGUUAACAAAGUAUGAAGGGAAUAUUGAGUGUGCUAGUAAGUCAAUUUUGCUUACCACCCCAGAAGGGAGAAGGAUCAAGUAUGUAUCCCAGCAUGUGCCAAAGAGGACUCAAGUAAAUUGCCUAACAGGAGUUGUGCAGGAGGAAGUACCAGUGGUAAGGGAUUUCCCUGAUGUAUUUCCAGAGGAGUUGCCAGGCAUGCCACUGGAUAGAGAUAUUGGGUUUUUGAUUGAGCUGUUGCCAGGCACAGGGCCAAUAUCAAAGAGACCAUAUAGGAUGCCAGCAAAGGAUUUGGUGGAAAUUAAGAAGCAGAUUAAGGAGUUACUGGAUAAGGGAUAUAUUCACCCAAGUUCUUCGCCUUGGGGAUCGCCAGUACUUCUAGUGGAGAAGAAGGAUGGUUGUUGAUUAUCGAGGAUUGAAUGAAGUAACGAUCAAGAACAAGUACCCGCUACCAAUGAUCAACGAUCUGUUUGAUUGAUUGCAAGGAGCUAAGGUAUUUUCCAAGAUCGAUCUGCGAUCAGGAUACCACCAGUUGAAGAUUCGAGAACAGGAUAUUCCGAAGACAGCUUUUACCACCAGGUAUGGGCUGUAUGAGUAUACCGUUAUGUCAUUUGGUCUGACUAACGCACCUGCCUAUUUUAUGAACAUGAUGAACAAAGUGUUUAUGGAGUUUUUGGAUAAGUUCGUCGUAGUGUUCAUUGAUGAUAUCCUGGUUUAUUCGAAGAAUGAAGAGGAACAUAAGGAGCAUUUGCGUUUGGUACUUGGAAAGCUCACAGAACAUCAAUUAUAUGCCAAGUUCAGCAAAUGUGAGUUUUGGUUGAAGGAAGUAGGAUUCCUCGGACACGUUAUAUCUGGAGAAGGUAUAGCAGUAGAUCCCGCUAAAGUUGAAACCGUCACCAAGUGGGAAGCCCCAACAACAGUUGGAGAGAUCCGGAGUUUUCUUGGACUCGCAGGAUACUACCGGAGAUUUAUUGAGAAUUUCUCAAAGAUUGCGAAGCCUAUGACUGAGUUGUUGAAGAAAGAUACCAAGUUCAUAUGGACAGAGGAAUGUGAGGCUAGUUUCCAGGAGUUGAAGAAAUGUUUGGUUACCUCACUAGUGUUGAUUUUGCCAGACCAGACCAAGGAUUAUGAGGUGUAUUGCGACGCUUCACGUCGAGGACUUGGAGCAGUGCUUAUGCAGGAAGGGAGAGUUGUUUCAUAUGCCUCAAGACAACUGAAGCCUCAUGAGUUGAAUUAUGCUAUGCAUGAUUUGGAGUUAGCAGCCGUAGUGCAUGCUUUGAAAACAUGGAGACAUUUUCUGAUUGGAAAUCAUUGUGAGGUGUACACGGAUCAUAAGAGUUUGAAGUACAUUUUCACACAGAAGGAGUUAAAUCUCAGACAAAGGAGAUGGUUGGAGCUUAUCAAGGAUUAUGAUAUGAAAUUGCAUUAUCACCCCGGAAAGGCUAAUGUAGUAGCUGACGCAUUAAGCCGUAAGAGCCAUGUCAAUACGUUAAUGACGGGAGAAAUACCCAAGGAGUUAGCAGAUAAUCUUUGUGAACUAUGUUUGGAAAUAGUUCCGAGAGGCUAUGUAGCAGCAUUGGAGAUUCAGUCAACCUUGAUGGAUAAAAUCAGGGAAGCUCAGAAAGCUGACAAAGAGAUUGCCGCUAUAAAGGAGAAACUGAGCAAAGGAAAAGCUAAAGGAUUUCGUGAGGAUGAGCACGACACCUUAUGGUUUGAAGACCGCGUUUAUGUGCCCAAUGACCUGGAGAUCAGGAAAUUGAUUUUGCAAGAGGCACAUGACUCACCGUAUUCAAUUCACCCAGGAAAUACCAAGAUGUAUCUGGAUUUGAAGGAUAUUUUCUGGUGGACCGGAAUGAAGGAUAUAACGGAGUAUGUAGCAGUUUGUGAUGUAUGUCAGAGAGUAAAGGCAGAGCAUCAGAAGCCAGCAGGAUUGUUACAACCAUUGCCGAUACCCGAAUGGAAGUGGGAUAAGCUAGGCAUGGAUUUUAUCACGGGAUUGCCCAGGACUCGUUCAGGCUAUGACUUGAUUUGGGUUGUAGUUGAUCGAUUGACGAAAGUAGCUCAUUUCAUCCCGGUAAAGACCACUUACACCAGUGCUAAGUUGGCAAAGAUAUACAUGACCAGGAUCGUAUGUUUGCAUGGAGUUCCAAGGAGUAUCGUAUCAGAUAGAGGAACCCAGUUUACCUCAAAGUUCUGGAAGCAGUUGCACAAAAUUUUGGGUACCAGGCUAGAAUUCAGUAUAGCUUUUCAUCCACAGACAGAUGGAUAGACCGAGAGAGUCAAUGAGAUUUUGGAGGAUAUGCUGAGAGCUUGUGCGCUAGAUUACGGAUCUAGUUGGGACGAUAAUUUUCCAUAUGCAGAGUUCUCUUACAAUAACAGUUAUCAAACUAGUUUAAAGAUGGCCCCUUUCGAAGCCUUGUACGGAAGGAGGUGCGAGACCCCGUUGUCAUGGGACGAAGUUGGAGACCGCCAGUUGUUUGGUCCUGACUUGAUUAAAGAGUCUGAACAGAAGGUGAAGUUGAUUUGCGAUAGGCUCAGGAUAGCCCAGUCCAGAUAGAAGAGUUAUGCGGAUUCUAAACGUAAGGAGACAGUUUACGAAGUCGGAGACAGAGCUUAUCUUUGAGUAUCUCCACUUUGGGGAACAAAGCAUUUUGGAGUUAAAGGGAAGUUAGCACCAUGAUUUGUAGGACCAUAUCGAGUUUUGGAGCGUAUGGGAGAAGUGGCCUACAAGUUGGAAUUGCCCGAAGGAUUGUCAGGAGUACAUGAUGUGUUCCACGUUUCUCAGUUAAAGAAAUGUCACGCGGAGAUAGCUGACAUACCGUUGAGAGAUACAUUGCCUUUGGAAACUAUUCAGUUGGAUAACGAUUUGACCUACGAGGAGAAACCAAUUAAGAUCCUCGAGUUUGCCAGCCGAGUUACUCGCAGCAAGGUUAUCAAGUUUUGUAAAGUUCAGUGGAGCCACCACACAGAGGAUGAAGCCACCUGGGAACAAGAGGAAGAUUUGCUCAAAGACCACCCUCACCUAUUUUCUAGCCAACCCGAAUCUCGAGGGCGAGAUUCAUCUUAAAGGGGGUAGGUUUGUAACAUCCCAAAUUUUCAAUUUGGAAUGUUAUACAUUAGAUCAUCAUGCAUAUCAUAUUUUAUUUUGCAUUUUGGUUGAUCCUAGAAAUUCUACGCAACUCAAUGACCCACGGAGAGAGUUGGGGAUUUCAUUAUUUUCAUAUUUGAGUUUUCUCAAAUUUUGAGAAUAGGAUCAUUUGAUUUUAUUUAUUUUAUCAUCAAUUAUUUCUACUAUAAAAAUAUGAGAGAGGGAAUAAAAUGACUUUCCCAAAAUAAAGAAAUAUUGAGGAUUUAAUAAAAAAAUCAAAUAAGAUUUUAUUUCGGAGUUUUUCGGUGUUUUAUUUGAAUUUAGGAAAAAUGUGUGUUUUUAAAAAUUGCAUUUAGGGCCCAGAUAAAUGUUCACCUUGUGCGGCUUGAUUUUAGAAGCCCGUGAAAAUUUAUUUCGGAAUUUUUGGAGUCCGUUUAGUAUUUCUUUUUAUUUUUCUUCCGAGCAGAAUAUUAAAAAAAACGAACCGACUUCGGGCCGUACCCGAGUGGGGCACCACCCGGGGGCAGCCUUUAAAUAGCGCCGCCCCGAGCCGCCCCAGCCCAUCAGCCCCGCCUCGAUCCGCACGUGCCGCUGCCGCCGACGAUUCCGCCGCCCGAGGUUCGUCGCGCCUCGUUUUCCGUGCCAAAAAAAAGAGAAAAAAAUUCGGCGUUCGUCAUUUUUCUUUUUCUCGGAUUAAAUCCGCGAUUUUUCUGAUCACGAUUCCUGAUCCGAUUUUCAUUUUAGUUUAACUUUUUGCUCGUUUAUCGGAAUCAGGUUAUUCAAGCGCCUAGAGUUUCGUCUCGAAACCCUCUAUCCGUUUAACCAACUUAAACAAGUUUUUGCUACUGUAAAAUUUGCCCUAGAUCCAGAUUACUAGAACGAAGUUGUUUUCCUUCGCCGUUCGUCUUUUGUUGCUUCGUUCGAUUUGAUUCUUUUUGCCAACCGGAGUUCUUAAGUUGAACCUUCUGGUUAGAUCUCUUAUUUGAGUUUUACCUGUGCAUUAGAUGAGUACUUAUUGUAUGCUUGUUUGUUUGUCUGCGAUAGAAUACCCGGAGUGCGCCGCCUAUUACUUCGAAUCGUUAGGUUUCGCGGAUCAGCAGCAAGGCAAGUAACACUUUGAUCAUACCUUUUCUACUACCCAGUUUUAUUGCAUUAGAUCAAUCCUCACACAUUGCAUGAUUAGGAUCUAAUUAAAUUGUGGGAUGGGAAGUAGUUGAGGUAGUACCUAUUACCUGUUUAUUAUCAAACCUUUGGGAGUUACUUCUACGUUUGCUUGUUAUGCCAUGCUAUGCUAGUAGACGUGGAUUGGGUGAGUGAUAUCCAUGACAGAUGUGAGAUUGAUAAUUAAUGGUUUAUCUAAGGUGGCAACUUAAACACACAUCUGGGUGGAUUGAGGCACCUGGAUAUUCUAGGACUUGCCUGUUUUCUUUUGGACCGCCACCCAGGCUCAAAGGGAUCAUGAGACUAUUCAUACUAGAAACUUCCGUGUGCAGCCACAAGCUAUUAUGGGCUCUAGAAUAGUUGACUAAGUCGUGUGAACUCUUACAGUGGUAGACUAGCAGAUGUAGGGGAUGUAGGUGGUACGGUCUACCCAUCGUAAGGUGCUAGCGCUUCUGAAAGACUAUGUCUCGGUCAUCCGUAUUCUCAAACACCAUGUAGUGCGAGAAACCAAAUGGAGGUGAUCGAGUCUUGUGGGGAAAAGUGCGCAAACCUCUGCAGAGUGUAAUAAACUAAUCAUGGUUAGCCGUGUCCCCAGUUAUGGACAUCUUGAGUAUCUAGUACUUGGAUUUUCAUGUGAAUCUCAACAUGUUACUCUAAAUUAAUUUUGUUGGGUUAUGUUUAAUGAUGAUGCUUAAUUGGGAUUGAGGAUGCUGUCAACCAUUCUCAAUGUUUAACAACCACCAUGAUAGUUAAAUAAAUCUAUUCCUUUGAAGUAGGGAAAUUGGCUUUACGCAAAACUGUAACCAUAGAGCUUUCCACCAGCCAAAUAUGCAUAUAGUAUAGCUAUUUCAUUCCAUUUCUCUCUAUGUGUUACCUUGCCAGCAUAUUCCAUGUGCUGACCUGUUUCGGGCUGCAACGUUAAUGUUGCAGACUUUUUAGACGAUGAUUAAGGAGUUUUUAGGUCGUGGUUCUAUACUCAAUGAUGACGUUGGAGUUGAUGGACUCACUUAUCUUCCAAGCCUUCCGCUGUUAUCGUCAUUAGAUGGCCUUAAGCCAUAUUUAUUGUAAUAAGUUCUCUUUUGAGACACUCGAUGUAAUAAGUGUGUGAUUGCUACUCUGCUAUAAAUCCUCCGAGUACUGUGUGGUGUCAGCAUUACUGAUCCAGGGAUGACACCGGAGCACAGAGAUCAGACUGUUUGAGGUCUGGUCGCUAUAGCGGUUGAUGCCCUUCUUUCGCCACAAGAAAGCUAAUUUCCGGAUAGAGACCGUGUCAAAAUUUCAGCCCAAUCGGAGUUACGGAUCUCCCGGAAUAUAAGAAACGGUGAAAGGGAAGAAUCUGAGAACGCAGAACCAGAGAGAAACAGAGAGAUAGAUCCAAUCUCGGAGGGGCUCUCGCCCCUCCCAUGCCAUGAAGGCCAAGGACUAGAGGGGAAACCCUUCUCCCAUCUAGGGAGGAGGUCAAGGAAGAAGAGGAAGAAGGGGGGCCCUCUCCCCUUCUCCUCCGGUGGCGCCGGAACGCCGCCGUGGCCAUCAUCAUCAUCACCGCGAUCUUCACCAACACCUCCGCCAUCUUCACCAACAUCUCCAUCACCUUCCCCCCUCUAUCUACAGCGGUCCACUCUCCCGCAACCCGUUGUACCCUCUACUUUAACAUGGUGCUUUAUGCUUCAUAUUAUUAUCCAAUGAUGUGUUGCCAUCCUAUGAUGUCUAAGUAGAUUUUUGUUGUCCUAUUGGUGGUUGACGAAUUGCUAUGAUUGAUUUAAUUUGCUUGUGGUUAUGUUGCUGUCCUUUGGUGCCCAUCAUAUGAUUGCGCGGUGGAUCACACCCUAGGGUUAGUUUGUAUGUUGAUAGGACUAUGUAUUGGAGGGCAAGAGUGACAGAAGCUUCAACCUAGCAUAGAAAUUGAUGCAUACGGGAUUGAAGGGGGGCCAAUAUAUCUUAAUGCUAUGGUUGGGUUUUACCUUAAUGAACAUUAGUAGUUGCGGAUGCUUGCUAAUAGUUCCAAUCAUAAGUGAAUAGAAUUCCAAGUAAGGGAUGACAUGCUAGCAGUGGCCUCUCCCACAUAAUACUUGCUAUCGGUCUAGUAAAGUAGUCAAUUGCUUAAGGGACAAUUUCGCAACUCCUACCACCACUUUUCCACACUCGCUAUAUUUACUUUAGUUGCUUCUUUACCUUAACAGCCCCUACUUUUAUUUUCAUGUUCUUUACUUUCUUGCAAGCCUUUCUGAAAACACCAACAAAGUACUUCUAGUUUCAUACUUGUUCUAGGUAAAGCGAACGUCAAGCGUGCGUAGAGUUGUAUCGUUGGUCGAUAGAACUUGAGGGAAUAUUUGUUCUACCUUUAGCUCCUCGUUGGGUUCGACACUCUUACUUAUCGAAAACUAUUGCGAUCCCCUAUACUUGUGGGUUAUCAAAUACAUGCCUACAUUACAUUGAUGAACUGGAGCUAGUUUUGUGUCACCCUAGGUUAUGACUGUUACUUGAUCGAUCGCAUCCGGCAUAAUUCUCCAUCACCAAUCCAAUGCCUACGAGAUUUUCCUAUAUUGUUCUCCGCUUAUUUACUUUUCCGUUGCUACUGUUACAAUCACUACAAAACCCAAAAAUAUUACUUUUGCUACCGUUACCUUUUGCCACCGUUACCACUACUAUCAUAUUACUUUGCUACUAAAUACCUUGUUGCAGAUAUUAAGUUUCCAGGUGUGGGUGAAUUGACAACUCAGCUGCUAAUACUUGAGAAUAUUCUUUGGCUCCCCUUGUGUCAAAUCAAUAAAUUUGGGUUGAAUACUCUACCCUCGAAAACUGUUGUGAUCCCCCAUACUUGUGGGUUAUCAAGAGCAUUUUCUGGCGCCGUUGCCGGGGAGCAUAGCUCUAUUCUUUAAGUCACUUGGGAUUUAUAUUUGCUUAUCAUUAUGAAGAACUUGAAAGAUCAAAUAACCAAGAUUUUUUCCCCAACUACGAGGGGGGGUAAGGAACUGCCAUCUAGCUCUGCACUUGAUUCACCUUCUAUUUUGAGUAAGCUUGCGACACCUAAACCUGCUUCUGCUAUUAAUUCUGAUAUGUCGCAUGUUAUUGAUGAUGCCACUUCUGCUAUGCAUGAUACUUCUGAUGAAACUACUUCUAUGCUUGAUACUACUGUGCCACUAGGUGAAUUUCUUGAUGAACAACUUGCUAGGGCUAGAGAGAAUGAAAUUAUUGAAACUGAUAAUAUUGAUGAAAGUGAUGAUGAAGAUUCUCCCCCUAAAUAUGAAUUGCCUGUUGUUCCUGAGGGUUAUGUUAUGGGUGAAGAAACUGCUAGAGAUUUCUUAGCUUGCAAUGAUAGAAGUGAUCUUAAGAAAUUAUUAGCUAAUUAAGCUUAAAGAAAAAUCUUUGAAUGCUAGAAUGAAAUAUGAUCCUGCUUAGGCUACUUCACCUAUCUUUAUUACUGAUAAGGAUUCUGAUUUCUCAGUUGAUCCUGAUAUAAUUACUUUGGUUGAAUCUAAUCCUUUUUAUGGCUAUGAAUCUGAAACUAUUGUGGCACAUCUUACUAAAUUAAAUGAUAUAGCUACCCUGUUCACUAAUGAUGAGAAAACUCGCUACUAUUAUAUCCUUAAAUUAUUUCCUUCUCAUUAAAGGGUGAUGCUAAGAUAUGGUUUAAUUCUCUUGAUCCUGGUUGUGUGCGUAGUCCCCAGGAUAUGAUUUAUUACUUCUCUGCUAAAUAUUUCCCCGCUCAUAAGAAACAAGUUGGCUUUAAGGGAAAUAUAUAAUUUUGUGCAAAUUGAAGAAGAGAGUCUCCACAAGCUUGGGGAGGCUUCUCCAAUUACUUAAUGCUUUGUCUGAUCAUCCUCUCAAGAAAAAUGAAAUACUUGAUAUCUUUUAUAAUGGACUAACUCAUGCUUCCAGAGAUUACCUGGAUAGUUGUGUUGGUUGUGUUUUCAGGGAAAGAACAGUUGAUCAAGCUGAAAUUCUAUUGAAUAACAUGUUGACCAAUGAAAAUAAUUGGACACUUCCUGAACCAACUCCUAAGCCAACUCCGAAGAAAAGGGGUAUUCUAUUUCUUAGUCAUGAAGAUAUGCAAGAGGCAAAGAAAUCUAUGAAAGACAAAGGUAUAAAAGCUGAAGAUGUUAAGAAUUUACCUCAUGUUGAAGAAAUACAUGGUCUUAAUUCAUCACCUAUUGAAGAAACACAUGGUCUCGAUAACCCGACACAGGUAGUAAAGGUAAAUUCUCUCUAUAGAUAUGAUAAAGCUGAAAUCCCUCUUGCUAAGUUUGCUAGCCAAUGUUUGGAUGAAUUUGAUAACUUUAUGGUUAAGCAAGAAGAUUUUAAUGCUUAUGUUGGUAGACAAUUGAAACAUAAUGCUUAUAUGAUUGAACACUUGAGUGAUUAUAUGGCUAGUGUUAAAGGUGAACUUAAACUUAUUAGUAAACAUGCUUAUAUGGUUAACACUCAAGUAGAACAAGUACUUAAAGCUUAGAAUGAUUUGCUCAAUGAAUUGAAUAGUAAAAAUAAUGACUUUGCUAUUAGAUUUGCAACUAGAGGAGGUAAAGUGACUCAGGAACCUUCGUAUCCUGAGGGCCAACCUAAGAGAAUUGAGCAAGAUUCUCAGAGAGCUAAUGUAGAUGCACCUAGUCCUUCUAAGAGGAAGAAAAAGAAAAAUGAUAGGACUUUGCAUGCUUCUAGUGAACCUGUUAUUGACACACCUGAGAAUCCCAAUAAUAUUUCUAUUCCUGAUGCUGAAACACAAUCUGGUAAUGAACAUGAACCUAGUGAUAAUGUUAAUGAUGAUGUUCAUGUUGAUGCUCAACCUAGCAAUAAUAAUGAUGUAGAAAUUGAACCUGCUGUUGAUCUUGAUAACCCACAAUCAAAGAAUCAACAUUAUGAUAAGAGAGACUUUGUUGCUAGGAAGCACAGUAAAGAAAGAGAACCAUGGGUUCAGAAACCCAUGCCUUUUCCUCCUAAACCAUCCAAGAAAAAGGAUGAUGAGGAUUUUGAGCGCUUUGCUGAAAUGAUUAGACCUAUCUUUUUGCGUAUGCGUUUGACUGAUAUGCUUAAAAUGAAUCCUUAUGCUAAAUAUAUGAAGGAAAUUGUUACUAAUAAGAGAAAGAUACCGGAAGCUAAAAUUUCCACCAUGCUUGCUAAUUAUACUUUUAAGGGUGGAAUACCAAAGAAACUUGGGGAUUCAGGAGUACCAACUAUACCAUGCUCCAUUAAAAGAAACUAUGUUAAAACUGCUUUAUGUGAUCUUGGGGUCGGUGUUAGUGUUAUGCCUCUCUCUUUAUAUCGUAGACUUGAUUUGAAUAAGUUGACACCUACUGAAAUAUCUUUGCAAAUGGCUGAUAAAUCAACUGCUAUACAUGUCGGUAUUUGUGAGGAUGUGCCUGUUGUGGUUGCAAACUUUACUAUUUUAACAGACUUUGUUAUUCUUGAUAUUCCCGAGGACGAUAGUAUGUCUAUUAUUCUUGGAAGACCCUUUUUGAAUACUGCAGCGGCUGUUAUUGAUUGCACCAAAGGCAAUGUCACUUUUCAUGUUAAUGGUAAUAAGCAUACAAUACACUUUCCGAGGAAACAACCUCAAUUCCACAGUAUCAAUUCUAUUGGAAAAUUUUCAACAAUUACUAUUGGAGGUUUUGAAUUUCCUCUUCCUAGUGUCAAGAAGAAAUAUGAUAUUCUUAUAGUUGGGGAUGUGCAUAUUCCCGUUGAGGUAACCUAGUGUUAUUCAAAAAUUCUCCGGUUUCAUGUUAUUCGACAUGAGCAUGAGAUGGAUGAAUUUAGAAAACACAACUCUCUAUACCCUCUUUUUACUUUCUGUUAUUUAUAUUAAAUAAAGAAAAAAUAGUAAUUUCUGUCUGUUUUCUAAAUUAUCCAUGCAAUCAAAAAUACCCCGAAAAUAAAAGUUCUCCAAAUGCCCUGAAAAUUAAAUAUGAUUUUUUCUAGAAUAUUUGAGAAUAUCUGGCACUGAAAACAUAGCAGGGGGAGCAGCCAUGUGCCCACGAGGGUGGAGGGCGCGCCCAGGGCCUCGUGGACCCCACUUGGGCCCCCUCCACUUAUUCCAGCUACCACACACUCCUUCCUCCCAAAAAAAUCACCAACCAGCUCAAACCCGAGUUCUAGCUCAUCUUGCUGCCAUUUUUGAUCUCCUAGCUCAAAGCUCCAUUCACAAAGCUGCUUUGGGGAUUGUUCUUUGGUAUGUGACUCCUCCAAUGGUCCAAUUAGUUUUUGUUAUAGUGCUUUAUUCAUUGCAAAUUUUUGCUGCUUAGGUGACCCUGUUCUUGAGCUUGCAUGUCAAAUUUAUAUGGUCAAAAGUAGUUUUAAUGCAUGAUAUUGCCUCUAGACACUUGUAGGAGUAGUCGCUAUCAAUUUUGUUGAUUUUGGUUCACUUUUAUUUUGAAGUUACUAAAAAUUUCAGAAAUUUUCAGAAAAAGAUGAAGAGAUUUUUGAGGGGCUCAUCGAGCCGAAGCUCGAAGGAUAAACAAAAUGAAGAGAACAAGAGGCCCAAGUAUAAUCUCCCCCGUACUACGGAGGUCCGGCCUUGUGAUGAUUUCUUGAGAGCAGCCGGGGUUUAUGAUGAUUUAUAUGAGUUGGCUGAGAAUGCAGGCCUCACCGCCUUCCUCCACGACCAACGCGAACAGCAUCUCUUACUCACCAAUAUCUUUGUGUAAAACUUUCAUUCCAUGCUAGGAGCUCACCACCUACGGUGGAAUUUUAUUUAUAUGAUGAGCAUAAGGAAAUGUAGCUUCGUGAUUUGUUUGAUCCCUUUUGAGGGCAGCAUAGAGGAACCACAUCAUGACGAUGUGGAAGGGUUUAUUGAUACAAUUGUUGUAGGGGAAACAAGAAAGGUUUCCGGUACAAGAAUUACUAGCAUACAUUUUCCUGGUUUACGCUACUUUGCAAUAUUUGCUAGUAGAUGCUUAAUUGGUCGCGGAAACUAUGGCAACCUUAGUGCCUUUGAUAUUGUUAUUUUGUGCCAUGCCUUGUUCCAUGAUGACACAUUUAGUAUGGGCGCUAUUGUUGCAAAGCGGUUACAUAGUAACCGUACUAAGGGCCCCAUCUUGGGAGGUAUCAUUGCCUCGCGCCUCGCUGCGCAUUUUAACAUACCUAUUAGGCAUUAUGAGAAGGAAGAGAAGUUGCAGCCUCCUGUUUUUCUAGACUAUAAGAGUAUGGUAGCACAUGAUUUUAUCAUUAAAAAUAAGGAAAAGAUGCUUAAGUACAAACUGAUAUUUGAUAAAAAUCACCCUGAGACUAUUACUUUGCCUGCUCCUUCCUUGUUUGACUUAUCUGCAGGCAAGUACCUUGUUCCACCGGAGGCCAUUCACGCCUACCGAAACCCCACACCAGCUACGGGGCUAGAGCCGGAACCACAAUUUGUUCCUUGCCGGCAGUCUGUUUAUCAGUGGAAUCUGGAAGAGAUCGCCAACCAGUGGCACUAGGGGGAUCCUUCUCAGUACGACCCCAACUAUAACUUUGGAUAUCCGCCAGCCCAGUCGUGGCCAUAGACCAACUUAGGCCAAAAGUCUAAGCUUGGGGGAGUACGUAUGUCUCACCAACAUUACAUUCCUGCUCACACACUCAUGCUAGUUGUCGGUGCUCAUACUUUUUCAUUGUAAUAUCCAUGCUAGUUUAUUUUCCUUUUUAUUGCGUUCUUCUUGUGUGUUUGAUAGACCUUAAGAAAAAACAAAAAAAUAGUUGUAGCUUUUAGCUAGUUUACUUUUCAUGUUGUAGUAGUAGUAAUUAAAAAUAAAACCUAAAAAGAUUUCUCGUUCUUCUUUUGCUUGUUGGGAGCUUUCCCGUGUAAAUAUUUUUAUUUCUUUUCUUGUUCUUUGGGGGUCGAGAGGAGAAGACCAUAAUGAAAAUGUUGAGUGGCUCUCAUAUGCAUUAUUGUUGAUCUAACAAAGAGCUCAUAUUACCUUGUCUUCUCUCUUGAAUUGAAUGCUUGCAGAUUCCAGCUUAGUCCAAUGCACGUGCACUAUUAUUAUUAUCCACAUUAUUCAGUCAUGCAAGUGAAAGGCAAUAAUGAUGAUUAUAUGAUAAACUUAUUGAGAUGAGAAAAGCUGGUAUGAACUCGACCUCUCUUGUUUUUGUAAAUAUGAUUAGUUCAUCGUUCCUGAUUCAGCCUAUUAUGAAAGAAACAUAUUUGCAAUGACAAUUAGAGAUUAUAGUUGCUUAUGCCAUGCUUAAUUAGCUAGGAGCUUAUAAUGGUUUACCUUGCGUGCCAACAUGCUAUUAAAAUGGUUGUGAUGUGGUAUGAUAGGGUGGUAUCCUCUUUUGAAUGAUUCGAGUGGCUUGACUUGGCACAUGUUCACGCAUGUAGUUGAAAUAAAAUAAAACAUAGCCUCUACGAUAUUUAUGUUCAUGAUGCAUUAUAUCCUACUCGUGCUUGCAUUCGGUGUUGAUUAAUUUUAUUGCAUGUUCAUGACUGUUAUCGCUCUCUAGCUGGUCGCUUCCCAGUCUUUUUCUAGCCUUCACUUAUACUAAGCGGGCAUACUGCUUGUGCAUCCAAUUCCAUAAACCCCAAAGUUGUCCAUAUGAGUCCACCAUACCUACCUAUAUACGGUAUCUACCUGCCGUUCCAAGUAAAUUUGUAUGUGCCAAACUCUAAACCAUCAAAUAAACAUUCUGUUUUGUAUGCUCGAAUAGCUCAUGUAUCAACUAGGGCUAUUUGUAUCUUCCAUGCUAGGCGGGUUAUUCUCAAGAGGAGUGGACUCCGCUCCUCACUCAUGAGAAAAGGGCUAGUCACCAGGAUGCCCAGUCCCAUGCUUUAUGAAAAUAAAAUCAAAAUAACUGCAAACAAAACUCCCCCGGGAUUCUUGUUAGUUGGAGGCACUCGUUGUUUCGAGCAAGCCAUGGAUUUAUGCUUGUUGGUGGAGGGGGAGUAUAAACUUUACCAUUCUGUUUGGGAACCGCCUAUAAUGUGUGUAGCAUGGAAGAUAUCGAGAUCUCUCGGUUGUUAUGUUUACAAUGAAAGUAUACCGCUCCAAAUAUUAUUCAUAUCUAUUUCAAAACCGAGCUCUGGCACCUCUACAAAUCCCUGCUUCCCUCUGUGAAGGGCUUAUCUAUUUACUUUUAUGUUGAGUCAUCAUCCUCUUAUUAAAAAGCACUAGUUGGAGAGCAUCGCUGUCAUUUGCAUCCAUUACUAUUAGUUUACAUUGAGUAUGACUUGACUGGAUCUCUUUUACCAUGAAUUACAAUGUCUAGUUAGUCCUUGAUCUUUAAAGGUGCUCCGCAUUUAUGUUUUGCGGUCUCAGAAAGGGCUAGCGAGACACCAUCUUGUUAUAUCAUAUCAUGAUUGUUUUGAGAAAGUGUUGUCAUCCGAGAUUUAUUAUUAUUGCUCGCUAGUUGAUUAUGCCAUUGAUAUGAGUAAACAUGAGACCCAAGUGUUAUUGUGACUAUGGUUAGUUCAUAAUCUUUGCUGAAAACUUGAAUGUUGGCUUUACAUAUUUACAAUAACAAGAGCAAACAGAGUUUGUAAAUGUUUUUCUUUAUCACUUUCAGUUUAUCAACUGAAUUGCUUGAGGACAAGCAAAGGUUUAAGCUUGGGGGAGUUGAUACGUCUCCGUCAUAUCUACUUUUCCAAACACUUUUGCCCUUGUUUUGGACUCUAAGUUGCAUGGUUUGAAUGGAACUAACCGGGACUAACGUGUAACAGCCCCAAAAUUGGGUUAUCAAUUUUUGUGCUGUUAUUCCUUCCUGGCACUCACUUUCAAAAUUUUCUCCUGAGUUUGCUGGAUGACUCUGAGAAAAUUUGUCAUUUUGAACCUUUCAAAACUGGCUCAUGUCUUUUUUUUCAGUGGGCAAGACCUCAUUUGCAUCAGCUCAAAAUCCUCUCAAACCCUAAUUCCAAAAUUUUGGAAUUUGAAUGUGGCCCUUGUGAUUACAAAGGAGCCAUCAUUUUCCUUGCUCUGUUGAUCCUCCCAAUUGUUCCCAGAGAUCACCCUAUCUUUCUGAACCUUGGAUAUGCAAAAAUAUUGCUAAGUCCAAUGCAAUAUUUUUGAAUUAUGAUAUAUUCCUUUUCUUGCCUUUCUGAGGAAUAAAAUCCAAAGGCAUAGCGAGCCAUAUCCUAAAUUCAUGAGAAUUGGUGGAGUUUAUUCUUAUGCCUAAUCCAAGCUCUGGCAAAGAUAUUGGCCAUAAUUAAAUAAGAAAAAUUGCCUUUUCCUAUUUUAAGCCAAUAUUGCACUUCUGCCAGUUUCCAAAGGAAUUACUAUUUUUAUAGCAGGGAAAAUUCCCACAUAAUUUGUGGAGCUUUUCCUUGCUAUAUAAUCACUAGUUCCAUCCUCAUCUCAUGAUUCCACAGUUCAAAAUUUGGCACAUGAUCCAAUGCAAGUUUCUGCCUUCUCUGAAAUUUUGCAAAGGAAGUGCUUUAUUCCUAAGUCCAAUUGAGCUGAAAAUUGGCAGGGAGUUUAAAAUUGUUACAUAACACACGGAUACCAAAGAUGAGAUCAAUCCAUUCAUCCUAACUCCCUGUGCAAUUUUUCAAAGUUUCUAACCAGAACAUAAGUUUGUGAAGGAAGCACCUUCAUAGUGUUUCCAAAUGGGAUGAAACUUUUCCAUACUCUCUAGUAUCUCAAAUAAUUAUCCUCCACCCAAAUUCAUUUCAUUUCAUUGAUCUAUGUGAGCACAGGAGCAAUUCUUUGUUUCUGUCCACAUUUUCAGUUUGUGAAGCAAGUGUAUUUUAUCUUGCUCCAUUAUGGCUGAUAUUUUUUCCAGGCCUUCUAAUAUCCAUAUAACCUAUCUCCACAAGAUUGUGGCUCAUUUCAUAUAACCAUUUUCCCUGAGGAUUUUUCUGAAGUUUUUGGACAGAAUUGAUAGCUGGGAAGGAAGUACCAUUUUGGUGAGUCCAUUUGGUAUGAACAUUUUACAUCAUCAUGAUAUGUUCAAAUCAUCAGUCUUUGACAAGUUAUAGCCUAAUCCAUCACUCCUAGUGAGUGCUUCACCAUGAUUCAGUUUCUGGGUCAGUUUUGGUGGUUGUACAACAACUAUGGUAAAUAGUUGUCCAUUUUAUCUCAAAACUCCCAGGACCGCAGUACUUUCUACCCUAAGCCUCCCAAGCAACUUAUCUACCUUUUACCCCCUCUGGUUUAAUCUCUAGGGUGUUGCCAAAUUUGCAACAUCAAACUUGUGGAGCUUCUUUCACUCAGCUCCGUUUGUCUCUGCCCUUCUACUUACCAUGGUAACACUCCACACUGGAAGGACUACGCGGUAGACAUAAACUUACUUCAGUAGAAACCCCAGAGCGUGCCAUGCGAGUGGUGACCACGCGUGUAACCAGCCAAAACGGUGGUCUAGCCACUGUGGUCGUCGGCAUCGCUGCCCCGACCGCCUCUGGCCUCGCCAUCAAUGCCCAAUAGUUCCCCCUCGACGUCGUCUUCUCUCUGGACCUCUGCCCCCCUUCGUUUUCUUCUCCGGUGAGCCGUGCCAACGACCGGAACAGUGUGCUCCUGUGCCUCAUCGUCUUCCUCGCCGAUGUCCUCUUCCUCCGUUCGUCCGCACGCCUUCCUCGUCUCCGUGACCCUCUGGCGUUCGUCUUGAUCCCCCUCGUCGCCUUCCCGUGCCUCCCCGUGAGCCUUGGCCGCGCCUGCGCCCUCACCGGCGCACGGACACGUCGCCUGACGCGUGCCACCUCGCCCCCCCCCCUUCCCGAGCUCUCCCGUGGAGCCCUGUAAGACAAUAGGCUUUGGGGGAACCGGCACAACCCUCUAGGGGUGGCCUAUCACAUAUAUAUAUAAUGAGGUGGUAUACAACGUUACAAUAUACACAUGUAAAUAUAGUCUAACACCCUCCCUCAAUCUUAGCCACUUUCUAAUGAAUCUAGAAGGGUAAGAUUGCGCCUGCAAGUCUCAAACUGUGGCAAAGGCAAUGGCUUGGUGAAGAUGUCAGCAAGUUGAUCCUUGGAAGAAAUAAACUUGAUCUGUAGUUGCUUUUGAGAGACACGUUCACGCACAAAGUGAUAGUCAACUUCAAUGUGUUUCGUUCGGGCAUGGUAUACCGGAUUUGCAGAAAGGUAUGUAGCACCGAUGUUAUCACACCAAAGAACAGGAGGCUGUGAUUGGGGUAUACUUAUCUCCUGAAGCAAGGACUGUACCCAGAUGAUCUCUGAUGUGGCAUUGGCCACAGCCUUAUACUCAGCCUCAGUACUGCUAUGCGAGACAGUAGCCUGUUUCCGAGCACUCCAGGCAAUCAGGUUAGAGCCAAAGAAGACAGCAUAACCCCCCGUGGAUCGCUUGUCAUCCGGAUUGCCAGCCCAGUCUGCAUCAGAAUAUGCUGAAAGACAACCAGAGUCAGACGGCCGAAUAUGCAAACCAUGAGCCACCGUGAAAUGAAUAUAGCACAAAAUCCGCUUAACAGCGGACCAAUGAGUGUCACGGGGUGACUGCAGAUACUGGCAGACUCGGUUAACAGCAUAGGAAAUGUCUGGUCGCAUGAUCGUCAAGUACUGGAGCCCACCAACAAUACUCAUGUACUCUGUCGCAUCAGAAGAAGAAAGAAGCACACCAUCAACAGCAUUGAGCUUAUCAGUGGUAGACAUGGGUGUAGUCGUCGGUUUGCACUUAAGCAUCCUAGCUCGCUGCAACAAAUCCAGAGAGUACUUCUUCUGCGUCAUAACAAGGCCAGCAUCACGAGAAGUAACCUCCACACCAAGAAAGUAAUGAAGCUUCCCAAGGUCCUUGACCGCAAAAUCAGCACCAAGUGAGCGAACAAGCGCAGUAGCAGCCGACUGAGAGGAGCUGACCAAAAUGAUAUCAUCUACAUAGACCAACAAGUACAUAGUAACCUCGGGCCUUUGAAGAAGAAACAAUGAGGAGUCAGCAGUUGAUGAUGCAAAACCAUGAGCACGAAGAGCCAUUGCAAGACGAGCAUGCCAAGCACGAGGAGCCUGCUUCAGACCAUAAAUUGCCUUGGACAGACGACGGAGAUGAUCAGGGCGAUCGGAUCAGAGAAACCCGGAGGCUGGCGCAUGUAAACCUCCUCCGCCAAGACACCAUGAAGAAAAGCAUUUUGAACAUCAAGCUGACGAAGAAACCAACCUCGAGUAACAGCCAGAGAGAGAAGAAGUCUGAUGGUAGUAGGUUUGACCACUGGACUAAAGGUGUCUUCAUAGUCAAGUCCAAAACGCUGUCGAAAACCACGAGCAACCAGAUGAGCCUUAUAGCGCUCAAUGGACCCAUCAGAAUGCCUCUUCACUUUGAAAACCCAUUUGGAAUCAAUGACAUUUACCCGUGAUUGUGGAGGAACAAGAGUCCAUGUCUGAUUGCGAAGAAGCGCUUGAUACUCCUGCUCCAUGGCCUCUCUCCAAUGAGGAAUGCGCAUAGCAGCUUGAUACGUGCGUGGCUCAGAGGAUGGAUCUGCGAGAGCAGCAGACAUGCACGCCGCUAACCAAGCAACUGUGCCAUCGUGACGUUGCUUAGGCUGAAAAAUGCCACUCCGACUGCGCGUAUGUGGACGUAGAGCAGCAGCAGGAGCCGGCGGAGGCGAAGGUGACGGAGACGUGACGGUCGCCGGAGAUGCAGGAAUCACCUCAGGCGAGCUCGGGACAGACGACUCCGGGCUGCAUGGCGAAGACUGGCCCGACGACAGGGGCUCAGAGGCCAUGGGCGAACCGAGAGUGGGCGAGGCCAGCUCCGAUGACACCGGCCCAGACGGCCUUGGCGAGGCGAGAGCAGGCGAGGCCGGCCCUGGUGAGAAGGGCCCAGACACCCUAGGCGAGGCAGGGGCGGGCGAGGCCAGGCCUGAUGAUGACUGCCCCGACGCCCUGGGCGAGACGGGGACCGAGGAGGCCGGCCCAGUCGGCGGGGUUGCAGGGCGCGACGAUGGCGAAGGCAGCCCAGAAGCCAGAGGCGACCGGGCCAGGACGUCGAUCGGCCGUGCAUGAGCACGGAAACCGAGGCCAUGCAGGGGCACCAUGUGCUCCUCAUGCACAACAGAAGGUGCCGAGGAUGAAGGCGAUGGCGACGAAGAGGAAGAUGGCACUUCCAGAAUCUCCAAACGAGCCCCACGACCAGUGCCUGCACCAUGGUUAGGCAACAAUAGAGGAGAAUAUGCAACAUCAUCAAAUUGGUCAGAAGCAACAGAGGAUGAAUGCAUGACAGGUGGCUCGGUAGUGGACACAGGGAGUUUGGCAAAGGGAAAAACAUGCUCAUCAAACACAACAUCCCGAGAGAUGUAGACACGAUUAGUGGGCACAUGAAGACAUUUGUAUCAUUUAUGAAGAGAGCUAUAACCAAGAAAAACACACUUCUUGGAACGAAACUCGAGCUUACGCUUGUUAUAUGGACGGAGAUGGGGCCAGCAAGCACACCCAAACACCUUGAGAAAGGUGUAGUCUGGUUGUUCAUUAAGGAGAACUUCAAUGGGAGUCUUCAUAUUCAAAACACGAGUGGGAGUACGAUUGAUGAGAAAACAUGCAGUGGUGAAAGCAUCACUCCAAAAACAAAACGGAACAGAUGCAUGGGCCAAAAGAGUCAGACCAGCUUCAACAAUGUGACGAUGCUUACGUUCUACUGAACCAUUCUGAUGAUGUGUAUGUGGACAUGCUAAACGGUGAGUGAUCCCAAGCGACUGAAAAAAGGAGUUGAGGUUGCGAUACUCGCCACCCCAGUCCGACUGAACAUGAACAAUUUUGUGCUUGAGAAGGCGUUCAACAUGUUUUUGGAACUGAACAAAAAUGUCAAACACAUCAGAUUUACAUUUGAUAAGAUAAAGCCAGGUAAAGCGGCUGUAAGCAUCAACAAAACUGAUAUAGUAAUUAUGACCACUAACAGAAGUCUGAGCAGGACCCCAUACAUCUGAAAACACAAGUUCUAAAGGAUGUUUCAACACACUGCUACAUCUUUAUUACUAGACACACUAGGAAGCUCAUGACGACGCAAAACAUGCCGGACAAUAGGUGUGGCCGGGUGACCAAGACGAGCAUGCCACUGUGACGGAGAUACCCGAACUCCACUGAAGAUGCGAGCGACGCUAGGAUGCUCCAGACGAUAGAGACCUUGGCAGAGCCGCCCACUAAGAAGAAUGUCCCUCGUGCCCCGAUCCUUAAUAAAAAGAUCAAAACGAUGAAAUUCACAAAGCACAUUAUUAUCACGAGUGAGUUUAGGAACUGAAAGAAGAUUACGUGUCACAGAUGGAACUCGAAGAACAUUGCGAAGUUGAAGACUCCUAUUGGCAUGUCUAGUGAGAAGUGAUGCUUGACCAAUAUGAGAGAUGUGCAUACCUGCUCCAUUGGCGGUGUGGAUCUUGUCGGAGCCAUGGUAGGGUUCACGAGUGUGAAGCUUCCCCAUCUCACUGGUCAGGUGCUCUGUCGCCCCAGAGUCCAUGUACCAGUGGGGAUCAAUGGAGUAGGACUGAGUGUGUCCCUGUGGCUUCUGCGACGGCGGACGAUCAGCCAUGGCGAUCUGACGAGCAAAGUUGCGUGUAUCCUUCCCGUCAUUGCCGAGACCAAGAAAACCCCGCUGGAAGCGCUUGUGACACUUCGAGGCCCAGUGCCCAUCGCGGCCACAAAGCUGGCACACACGUGGACCGCCAGCCCCUGGUAGCAUCGCAGUAGGAGGAGGGGCCGAGGCGGGUGGUGGUGACUGCCCCGAAGGAGCCCUGGAUGAAGCAGAGGAGCGACCACCCUUGGUGGCGGCGUUUGCCGAGAGGGCGUCGUUGCCCCUGGAUCGGCGCGUCUCGACUCGUUGCUCAGUAAGCAGGAGGCGUGAAAAGACCUCGUGUGCUGGCAUGGGCGUGGAGUUGCCCCUCUCAUUGAUGAUCUCGACUAGGGCGUCAUACUCCUCAUCAAGACCAUUGACAAUAAACGAGUUGAACUCGGAGUCGGUGAGGGGCUGUCCAAUGGAGGCCAGCGUGUCGGCGAGACUCUUGAUUUUGUUGUAGAACUCAGUGGCGGUGGAGUCAAGCUUCUGACACUCCCCAAGUUGGCGACGGAGCCCAGAUACACGAGCCUGCGACUGUGCCGCAAACGAGCGCUCAAGAAUAGUCCAUGCCUCGUGGGACGUCUUGGCGAAGACAACAAGCCCAGCAACGGCCGGAGAGAGCGACCCCUGGAUGGAGGAGAGGUUCGCCUGAUCCUGCCCUGUCCAGACACGGUGAGCCGGAUUAUAGACCGGACCGUGCACGCUGUCAACCAGCGCAGGAGGGCAAGGGAGAGAGCCGUCGACAUAGCCAAGCAGAUAGUGACUCCCAAGAAGCGGAAGAACCUGCGCGCGCCAGAAGAUGUAAUUGUCCGACGACAACUUGAUGGUGAUGAGAUGGCCGAAGUGAAACGGCGGCGGCGGCUGCGAUCCCAUCGAGGAGACUGGCUGAGGUGAGACCACCGUGGAGACAGUCAGAGGGGCAGCCGAUGCGGUGACAGAGGGCGCGAUGGCCGCGGUUGACGCCGCGAAGCCUGCCAGCGCGACGUCCUCCGCCACCAGCGGCGCAGUGGCCGAGGGCGCGACAGCCGCGGUUGACGGGGCGGCGGCGGUGUGGGCCACAAGCGCCUGCCCGGGCGAAGUAGCAGCCGGCGGGUGCGCGAAGAGGGGGCCGAUGCUCCGUGUCCCGAUCGGCGCCUGAAGGGAGGCGGCAUCCANNNNNNNNNNNNNNNNNNNNNNNNNNNNNNNNNNNNNNNNNNNNNNNNNNNNNNNNNNNNNNNNNNNNNNNNNNNNNNNNNNGAGGGAGGCCGGCAGAAAACCGGUGGCGGUGGAGCCGGACGCAGCGGCGGACGUCAUAGCAGUCGGGCGACGGCGACGGCGGGCGCGGCGGCGGCGGCGGUGGCGGCGGCGGUGGCGGCGGCGGCGGUUUAGGGUUUUUAGGCGGAAGCGGACGUAACCUAGCGUGAUACCAUGUAAGACAAUAGGCUUUGGGGGAACCGGCACAACCCUCUAGGGGUGGCCUAUCACAUAUAUAUAUAAUGAGGUGGUAUACAACAUUACAAUAUACACAUGUAAAUAUAGUCUAACAAGCCCUCAGGCUCGUCCGCGGCCACAACGCCUCCCCAUCCCCUCCUCUCGUCCCCGGAGCCUCUCUCUGACCCCAUCGCUGCCAUGACCGCCGCCUCGGGCUUCGCUCGAUUCCAGCGAUGCCGCCCCCCCUCUCGCCGUUCCACGUUCACCACUGGCCUCCCUAGGGUCCAGUGAGUCUCCCCGUGGCCUAAACCCCUCCUCUCCUCCACCCUAGCCACCACCUCGCCGGCGACCGAACCCUCUUCUCUGCCGCGGGCCUUGCUGCUUCCUCUACAGUGCACUUCGGCGGCCGCAAACACACUCAUCCAAUGCGCCUCUCCGUCCUGAUCUCCUGGGUAGGUCGUGCGCCUCGAGAGGUGGCCGGACGCGUCGGCGAUCGCCGUCGGGGCGGAUGCCUCCCUCGGCCUCGCUCUCUCCCGAGCGGGAGGUUGAAGAUGCCAGGCCAGGCGGGCCCCUCCUUGCGCGGCCCCACUUGUCUGCGAGAGAAGGGGGUGGCCCAGUCGGCCACGUGGAUAAGUGGCGGCGCCCCGCCCGGAAGCCGUCUCCCUCACGCGAGAGCUUAUUCUAUGAACUACGCUUUCAAUCACCAAAAGCGUGUCCUCCUUUUGCUUCCGCCAGAAAUACGUUUUCCUCUCUGGAAAACGUAUUCACACAAAAGACACGUUCUGUUUAAACUACUAGGGACCUGUUUGUAGAAAUAUUUUUACAAACUAGUCCCUGAGCUUUAAACGUCCGUAUCUUUUUACCCGUAACUCCGAAUCAGGUGAUUCUAGCGCUCACGUUCUCUGUUCGUUGAGCUCUUUCCAUUGGUGUCAUUUUCAUAAUGUUUUCACCCAGUGAAAAUGACCAUUUUGCCCUUGCCCGUAAACAGCCUCCUCCGAGAGAGAACUAUUUUCGGCAAAUCUUUCCGCGAUCGUUUCCCACUUCUUCCCGGAGUAUUUGUCGACCCCCAGGCAAGCCAACCUAUUAUCAUGAGCCCCAAAUGUGCAUGUUGACUUUUCUUGCACCUUGUGUGUAGUUGCAGUUGUUUCAUAUCGUUUUCAUCGGCAGUUAUUUCUUUAUGCUUAUCAUGCAUGCUUAUGUUUUCAUGAUAUCUUUUGCCAUGUUAAUCAAAAUGUCGUUAUUAAUAAUGCCAUGUCACUACUCUACUUUAUUUGCAUGUCAUCGUUAUAAAAUGUUGUGAGAAUUUUAUAUGCAUCGUUGAUAUGCUAUUGUCACGUUCUUUAUGCUAUGGUUGUGCACUUGAGAAGUUCGAUAUUUUGUUCAUGCAUUUAUAAGCGGCAUGUUGCACAAAUGUUAAAUAUGUUCAUGAUGAUGGAGAAGGAAAUAAAAUGACUUAAUAAUAACAAACCUCCUCCGUCAUCGAUGGGAUCGAGUCAUAGUGCCGCCAAACCGAACUUUUCAGUGCAGCCACAUUUGCCUUAUGGGAGGCCUUAAUGCGAGCUAUUGUCGUGACCUCUCGCCAGUGCCUCCCACUAGGGAAGGUUAUGGGCGUGCUUACCCUGAUCAGGUAAGCGGACAUAACCUUGUGUGCUCGUUUUUGAGAUUUUGGUACCAGUCCCCGAGUGGGAGUUGACCACGACGGUGGUCGGGGUGUCUUUGGUAGACACGGGGCCACCCAGGACCAACCCGUUGGGGAUUGGGUCAGAGUGGCCGAGAGAGCGUCAUGGCAGUAGGUCUGUUUCGUCGGAAUUCCAUUGGUCCACCCGAAUGGGAUGACGAGGCCAUGGGUUCCGUGGUGUGGGUACAGUGUGCUACCUCUGCAGAGUGUAUAAGGCUAUCGAUAGCAACAGUUCGUAGUAGGUCCCACUAUCAGGUCUUGGUCGAAAUGGAGGAUAAACUGAAAUAAUUAAGUGAGUAAAUAAAUAUGUGAUAACAAAAAUAUGGUGACUUGGACUAUGAGAUAGUCGUGAGAAGUCACGGCGAUGUUUUGGUGGUGAUUGCCGUAAGGAUCGCGAGUUAUUUUGGUGGUGAUCGCCGUAAGGAUCACGAGUUAUUUUGGUUAAAACCACGAUGGUGGUUUGGUCGUGAUCGCUAGAAAGAUCACUGUUCGGUUGCGAAGCAACCCUUUGUUAAGAGAGUCUGAGGGACUCGGUGUACAAGUUUGGUUACAUUGCAUCAGUAAUAUAUCAUUACUUGCAUUUAAAGAACCAUGAUAGAACAAAAGAUGAUUGCAUAAAGUUAAUAUGCUAUGUCUGCACUGGAUAUUAUUGGUAGUUUCUUUUCAGCAUAAUUUCAUGAUGCUAUGCCAUGCUUUGAUUGAUAUGAUAAUUUAUGCCAUGAUUGAGAUGAUAUGCUAUGUUUUGCCAUUGCCAUGUUAGAAAUAUGAUCUGAUAUGCCAUGUUAGUAGAUGUUAUGAGUUUGUUCAUGCUUAUUAAUUUUUAUCAUGCCAUGUUUAGUAAUUGAUAUGAGAUAGGUUGUUGCAUACGCUUGGUUCUUACUUUGUCUUCUGCUGGUUUGGAUGCUAUGUAUUUGGUUGUCUUGCAAGCACAUUCAAUGUACUGACCUGGCGUGUCAUGCCAGUUUUGUAGGUCAUACCCGUAUUGUUCGCUUGAUCCGUCGUGCUAGGCCAUAACCUUGCCAGUCCUGUGAGUUGUGGAGCCCAACCAGAGUAGUUAUGCUGCCAAACCAAGACUUCCGCCGCCAUUCAAUCAGACUUCCGCUGUCAUUUAUUAGCCUUGGGGCUAUGCCAGAUAAUUGUAUUCAUCAAUGAUGCAAUUGCAUUUACAUGUAUUUGAUGAAUAUUCUUGUACCUGGGAUGCUGUAUUAUGGACCUGUCGUGCGUCAGGUGUUAUCCUGGGCUGACAUAUGAAGGCCCCUGCUCCAUGCAGAUUGGGGUGCCACGGGGCAUGGUAUCAGAGCAGCCAGGCUGGCAUAGGUUAUCCUAGCAUUAGAUCACCGUUGCCAUUAAACCGUAAUUACCCUAAGGGAUUUGACUCAUCCCUGCAUCCGGCAUGGCCACUGUUAAUCCACAGUUGGCACAGUCGGGGCCGACACGUCCUCACCUUGCUGUCCUCGCCUAGUUAUUCAUGGAGCAAGUAGCAGCCACAUCCUUUCUGGUCAGCCGCACCGCUUGCCCUUCACCAUUAAGGGAAAGGGGCCACACCAUGCAGGCAUGUCCCGCAUGGCUGCCUAUAAAAGCCCCCUUUCCACUAGCCGUAUCGCUCACUCCUCAUUCAGCCAUGUCCCUGCAGAGAAGCCUAGCUAGUAACACUCCAGUCAUGGCUAGCACCCUCAAAACUAUUAAGUUCCACAGCCGCACAAGCAUCGUCAACCAUCCUGGAUUUCCAUCCCUUCUUGCUGAGAUGCUCACCCAAGCCUUUGGCUAUGAUGCUAGCCCCGACUAUAUGGUGUUUCAGUCAACACCCGUUCCUCACCUUCAUCGCUAUGAUGCAAGGGUGCACAUCAGCCCCGGCCCUGCAGCAGAUGUCCAGCCAUUGGUUUUUCAGGGUAGAGCCAUGCCUACCACUGAUUUGGCCAUCCAGACCGCUGCUAUGGAGGCAAUCCUAUACCUCUGAACCAAGUUCCCGCAAGUGGCAGAUCGAAGGGAGUUAUGUUUCUUCCCCAUUGUUACAGCGACAGGAAUUCAACCAUCCCCCUCUAUCCAAGGGAAUGACCCCGCAAUCGCUUUCCUGGUGUAGUAUAUCACUGCCCAGGGAAUGAUGAUUUUGAGGAUGCUUGUCGAAUUCAGAACCUUGGACAAUGAUUCGGUGCGAGUUGUAAAGGAAGCUUACCGUGAGGCUCGUAAGUUCGCAUCUCAAGUGGCUCACCCAACGCUAUCCGAGCCAGUGAUACCCUCUCAGCCGGUGUUGUGGCCUCGGCCAAACAUCAUCACUCUCGACAAGACUCUUUUCCGGAUCCACCAGCAGCAUAUGCUUGGAUCAAUUUCAGCCACACCCCCGGUAGACGAACCCCAACCCAUAGUGAUCUCAGAUGAUGAAGAUGGAGAUUGGCUCAGUCUUCGUCCUCCCGGAGAGCCCCAGCAAAGCAAGCCCUCAGCUUGAUCUCAGCCGCGCAACCAGUCGUUUCUGCUAGUAGGUCAGUCUAUCAGUUCAUUCCCGAUAUGAGGAGAGAACCAUGUAUCCCGAAGUGAGUAGUUUCGUUUAGCAUGUAGAGUGCUUGUGCUUGGUUGUAUGCUGGCACUAUUGUAACUCGUAUGAUGUGUUCUUGGUUGCUUUCUUGCUUUUGAAUUGCUGUGUUGGUUUGUCUCUCUGUCAAACAGAGAUGUUUGACGGGGAUGGCAAUGAAAGUUAACAAGAUUUUAAUCAGUAUAGCACAUACACUAAAUACAACAUUUACUCGUCCCGAGUCUUUUAAUAAAAUGCGCACUGGUUUAGGUAUAUAUAUACCAGGAUUAUAUAUAUACCCACUAGAAUUAAAAUGCUUUAGAAUGAUUUGUCUGUUGUGCUUUUCAUUGCAUGAUUUUAUCGCUGUCUGUUUGUUAGUGUAGAUUACAGCAUAACACACGCAUGCCCGGUUCACCCACGAGUACAUCCGGGCAGUACUCGGGGAAAUGCAAAGUCACAUAUCCCUAUCUAUCUAUGCAUACCCCGUGUGUCGGAUUUUCAACUCCAGAACCCCGCAGAGGCAUUUCCGUCUGGAAAUUCCUCGUCUCUAAUUCUUUCUUCCGAUUUUAUUUCUGGGGGAAACACUACCCACCUUAUUUCAUUUGAACCAGUACAACUACCCCGAUUUCAACUCCGAUUCUACCUCGACACCUACAUUUCGUGGAGCUAUCCGCGAAAUUUUUCCAUACUCCGUGUGAUUCUUGAGCUAGCGCAGCCACCUCACCUGCAUGUUCUGCAUGUGGACCCCACCACCACCACCAUCUUCUAUGCCUUGCGUGGCGCAGGCAAGUCACCACCCCGCUUCACCGCCGCUCACAAUUACUCUGCCGGCACAAACCGACGGAGAAUCAAGUGUGGCGGAGGACCACCCAGUGCGCCAUCUUCUCCCGCGUCUCGAGCCACCGCACCCAACCGCGUAUUGUUCCGAGCUCACUCAUUCCUGAUGAGAAUCAGCAGGAGGAGUGACGAGCCAAUCAGCGUGCCCAGCAGCGCCGCGAGGAACAGCCGCAGCGCCACCAGGAACACCUCCUUGCCGUAGGAUCUCGGCUCGAUCUCGCCCAAACCGAAGAGGUAGUAGAGCGGCAUUGUGUUUGUGCGUUGGAGGAGAGCCACGCUGCCGUUUUUAUAGCCCAACCCCGGUGUACGAUGAGCGAGGUCCAGGAGAACCGCUCAUCGCUUGAUCACCGGCGUCCAGGAGGCGAAUCCACGAGCAGUGCCGACAAGGUGCUGGCCCGCGACGUGAGUGCACGCUGCACCGGCGCCGUGCACGCCACGCACUACGGCACUAGGGUCCUCAUCUCCCUAGGAGCUAGAUGUGCACUGCGCUACACCGCACGCAAAGCAGCGACGAAGAAGAAGCAGCAAGCCAGAGGUAGAAGAAGGAGGCUGCUAGUGGGCCCUGGACCCACGUGUCAGCAGGUGAAACCACUGUUCAUUGGGUGCAUCUAGCAUUUUUCGGGAGUUUGAUCUUGAAUGCCCCUAGCCGUGGAUAUAUCCAGGUUUGCCAUAUCCCUCCCCGGGUGUACCAAUUAUCGGCGCCCCUAUCUCGUUUGAAUUUGACCAAAGGGUUAACAAUUAACCCCGAGGUUUUCCCCGGAGUGGUUAUUCUUUCAUUUGUGUUGUAACCCUAGGAAUCUCGAGGACGAGAUUCUCUUUUUAAGGGGGGAAGAGUUGUAACAGCCCCAAAAUUGGGUCAUCAAUUUUUGUGUUGUUAUUCCUUCCUGGCACUCAUUUUGAAAAUUUUCUCCUGAGUUUGCUGGAUGACUUUGAGAAAAUUUGUCAUUUUUAACCUUUCAAAACUUUCUCAUGUCUUUUUUUUCAGUGGGCAAGACCUCAUUUGCAUCAGCUCAAAAUCCUCUCAAACCCUAAUUCCAAAAUUUUGGAAUUUGAAUGUGGCCCUUGUGAUUACAAAGGGGCCAUCAUUUUCCUUGCUCUGUUGAUCCUCCCAAUUGUUCCCAGAGAUCACCCUAUCUUUCUGAACCUUGGAUAUGCAAAAUAUUGCUAAGUCCAAUGCAAUAUUUUUGAAUUAUGAUUUAUUCCUUUUCUUGCCUUUCUGAGGAAUAAAAUCCAAAGGCAUAGCUAGCCAUCUCCUAAAUUCAUGAGAAUUGGUGGAGUUGAUUCUUAUGCCUAAUCCAAGCUCCGGCAAAGAUAUUGGCCAUAAUUAAAUAAGGAAAAUUGCCUUUUCCUAUUUUAAGCCAAUAUUGCACUUCUGCCAGUUUCCAAAGGAAUUACUAUUUUUAUAGAAGGUAAAAUUCCCACAUAAUUUGUGGAGCUUGUACUUGCUAUAUAAUCACUAGUUCCAUCCUCAUCUCAUGAUUCCACAGUUCAAAAUUUGGCACAUGAUCCAAUGCAAGUUUCUGCCUUCUCCGAAAUUUUGCAAAGGAAGUGCUUUAUUCCUAAGUCCAAUUGAGCUGCCAUUUGUCAGGAUGUUUAAAAUUGUUACAUAACCCAUGGAUACCAAAGAUGAGCUCAAUCCAUUCAUCCUAGCUCCCUGUGCAAUGUUUCAAAGUUUUUGACCAGAACAGAAGUUUGUGAAGGAAGCACCUUCAUAGUGUUUCCAAAUGGGAUGAAACUUUUCCAUCAUCUCUAGUAUCUCAAAUCAUUAGCCUCCACCCAAAUUCAGUUCAUUUCAUUGAACUAUGUGAGCACAGGAGCAAUUAUUUGUUUCUGUCCACAUUUUCAGUUUGUGAAGCAAGUGUAUUUUAUCUUGCUCCAUUAUAGUUGAUAAUUUUCCCAGGCCUUCUCAUAUCCAUAUAAACUAUCUCCAAAAUAUUGUGGCUCAUUUCAUCUAGCCAUUUUCCCUGAGGAUUUUUCUGAAGUUUUUGGACAGAAUUGAUAGCUGGGAAGGAAGUACCAUUUUGGUGAGUCCAUUUGGUAUGAACUUUUUACAGAAUCAUGAUAUGUUCAAAUCAUCAGUCUUUCCCAAGUUAUAGCCUAAUCCAUAAAUCCUAGUGAGUGCUUCACCAUGAUUCAGUUUCUGGGUCAGUUUUGGUGGUUGUACAGCAACUAUGGUAAAUAGUUGUCAAUUUUACCUAAAAACUCCCAGGACCGUAGUCCUUUCUACCCUAAGCCUCCCAGACAACUUACCUCCCUUUUACCCCCUCUGGUUUAAUCUCUAGGGUGUUGCCAAAUUUGCAAUAGCAAACUUGUGGAGCUUGUUUCACUCAGCUCCGUUUGUCUUUGCUCUUCUACUUAAAAUGGUAACACUCCACGCUGGAAGGACUACGCUGUAGACAUAAACUUACUUUAGUAGAAACUCCAGAGCGCGCCAUGCUAGUGGUGACCACGCGUGUAACCAGCCAAAACGGUGGUCUAGCCACUGUGGUCGUCGGCAUCGCUGCCUCGACCGCCUCUGGCCUCGCCAUCAAAGCCCAAUAGUUCCCCCUCGACGUCGUAUUCCCUCUGUACCUCUGCCCCCCUUCGUUUUCUUCUCCGGCGAGCUGUGCCAACGACCGGAACAGUGUGCUCAUGUGCCUCGUCGUCUUCCUUGCCGAUGUCCUCUUCCUCCGUUCGUCCGCACGCCUUCCUCGUCUCCGUGACCCUCUGGCGUUUGUCUUGAUCCCCCUCGUCGCCUUCCCGUGCCUCCCCGUGAGCCUUGGCCGCGCCUACGCCCUCACCGGCGCACGGACACGUCGCCUAACGCGNNNNNNNNNNNNNNNNNNNNNNNNNNNNNNNNNNNNNNNNNNNNNNNNNNNNNNNNNNNNNNNNNNNNNNNNNNNNNNNNNNNNNNNNNNNNNNNNNNNNNNNNNNNNNNNNNNNNNNNNNNNNNNNNNNNNNNNNNNNNNNNNNNNNNNNNNNNNNNNNNNNNNNNNNNNNNNNNNNNNNNNNNNNNNNNNNNNNNNNNNNNNNNNNNNNNNNNNNNNNNNNNNNNNNNNNNNNNNNNNNNNNNNNNNNNNNNNNNNNNNNNNNNNNNNNNNNNNNNNNNNNNNNNNNNNNNNNNNNNNNNNNNNNNNNNNNNNNNNNNNNNNNNNNNNNNNNNNNNNNNNNNNNNNNNNNNNNNNNNNNNNNNNNNNNNNNNNNNNNNNNNNNNNNNNNNNNNNNNNNNNNNNNNNNNNNNNNNNNNNNNNNNNNNNNNNNNNNNNNNNNNNNNNNNNNNNNNNNNNNNNNNNNNNNNNNNNNNNNNNNNNNNNNNNNNNNNNNNNNNNNNNNNNNNNNNNNNNNNNNNNNNNNNNNNNNNNNUCCCGCGGCUAUAAGUAGAGCCAUCGGGCUCGUCCGCGGCCACAACGCCUCCCCAUCCCCUCCUCUCGUCCCCGGAGCCUCUCUCUGACCCCAUCGCCGCCAUGACCGCCGCCUCGGGCUUCGCUCGAUUCCAGCGAUGCCGCCCCGCCUCUCACCGUUCCACCUCCACCACUGCCCUCCCUAGGGUCCAGUGAGUCUCCCCGUGGCCUAAACCCCUCCUCUCCUCCACCAUAGCCAACACCUCGCCGGCGACCGAACCCUCUUCUCCGCCGCGGGCCUUGCUGCUUCCUCUACAGUGCUCUUAGGCGGCCGCAACCACCCUCAUCCGAUGCGCCUCGCCUCCCUGAUCUCCUGGAUAGGUGGUGUGCCUCGAGAGGUGGCCAGACGCGCCGGCGAUCGCCGUCGGGGCGGACGCCUCCCUCGGCCUCGCUCUCUCCCGAGCGAGAGGUUGAAGAUGCCAGGCCAGGCGGGCCCGUCCUCGCGCGGCCCCACUUGUCUGCGAGAGAAGGGCGUGCCCCAGUCGGCCACAUGGAUAAGUGGCGGCGCCCCGCCAAGACGCCGUCUCCCUCACGCGAAAGUGUAUUCAGAGUAGUACGCUUUCAAUCACCGAAAGUGUAUCCACGUUCUGCUUCGGCCAGAAAUACGUUUUCCUCUCCGGAAAACGUAUUCUCAGAAAAGACACGUUCUGUUUAAACUACUAGGGACCUGUUUGUAGAAAUAUUUUUACAGACUAGUCCCUGAGCUUUAAACGUCCGUAUCUUUUUACCCGUAACUCCGAAUCAGGUGAUUCCAGCGCUCACGUUCUCUGUUUGUCGAGAUCUUUCCGUUGGUGUCAUUUUCAUAAUGUUUUCACCCAGUGAAAAUGACCAUUUUGCCCUUGCCCGUAAACAGCCUCCUCCGAGAGAGAACUGUUUCAGGCAAAUCUUUCCGCGAUCGUUUCCCACUUCUUCCCGGAGUAUUUGUCGACCCUCAGGCAAGCCAACCUCUUAUCAUGAGCCCCGAACGUGCAUGUUGACUUUGCUUGCACCUUGUGUGUAGUUGAAGUUGUUUCAUAUCGUUUUCAUCGGUAGUUAUUUCUUUAUGCUUAUCAUGCAUGCUUAUGUUUUCAUGAUAUCUUUUGCCAUGUUAAUUAAAAUGUUGUUAUUAAUAAUGCCAUGUCACUACUCUACUUUAUUUGCAUGUCAUCGUUAUAAAAUGUGAAUUUUAUAUGCACCAUUGAUAUGCUAUUAUCACGUUCUUUAUGCUAUGGUUGUGCACUUGAGAAGUUCAAUAUUUUGUUCAUGCAUUUGUAUGCGGCAUGUUGCACUCAUGUUAAAUAUGUUCAUGAUGAUGGAGAAGGAAAUAAAAUGACUUAAUAAUAACAAACCUCCUCCGUCAUCGAUGGGAUCCAGUCAUAAUGCCGCCAAACCAAACUUUUCAGUGCAGCCAGAUUUGCCUUAUGGGAGGCCUUAAUGCGAGCUAUUGUCGUGACCUCUCGCCGGUGCCUCCCACUAGGGAAGGUUAUGGGCGUGCUUACCCUGAUCAGGUAAGCGGACAUAACCUUGUGUGCUCGUUUUUGAGAUUUUGGUUCCAGUCCCCGAAUGGGAGUGUCCCCGACUGGGAGUUGACCACGACGGUGGUCGGGGUGUCUUUGGUAGACACGGGGCCACCCAGGACCAGCCCGUUGGGGAUUGGGUCGGAGUGGCCGGGAGAGCGUCAUGGUAGUAGGUCGGUUUCGUCAGAAUGUCGUUGGUCCACCCGAAUGGGAUGACGAGGCCAUGGGUUCCGUGGUGUGGGUACAGUGUGCUACCUCUGCAGAGUGUAUAAGGCUAUCGAUAGCAACAGUUCGUAGUAGGUCCCACUAUCAGGUCUUGGUCGAAAUGGAGGAUAAACUGAAAUAAUUAAGUGAGUAAAUAAAUAUGUGAUAACAAAAAUAUGGUGACUUGGACUAUGAGAUAGUCGUGAGAAGUCACGGCGAUGUUUUGGUGGUGAUCGCCGUAAGGAUCACGAGUUAUUUUGGUGGUGAUCGCCGUAAGGAUCACGAGUUAUUUUGGUUAAAACCACGAUGGUGGUUUGGUUGUGAUCAUCGGAAAGAUCACUGUUCGGUUGCGAGGCAACCCUUUGUUAAGAGAGUCCGAGGGACUCGGUGUACAAGUUUGGUUACAUUGCAUGAGUAAUAUAUCAUUACUUGCAUUUAAAGAACCAUGAUAGAACAGAAGAUGAUUGCAUAAAGUUAAUAUGCUAUGUCUGCAUUGGAUAUUAUUGGUAGUUUCUUUUCAGCAUAAUUUCAUGAUGCUAUGCCAUGCUUUGAUUGAUAUGAUAAUUUAUGCCAUGAUUGAGAUGAUAUGCUAUAUUUUGCCAUUGCCAUGUUAGAAAUAUGAUCUGAUAUGCCAUGUUGGUAGAUGUUAUGAGUUUGUUCAUGCUUAUUAAUUUUUAUCAUGCCAUGUUUAGUAAUUGAUAUGAGAUAGGUUGUUGCAUACGCUUGGUUCUUGCUUUGUCUUCUUCUGGUUUGGAUGCUAUGUAUUUGGUUGUCUUGCAAGUACAUUCAAUGUACUGACCUGGCGUGUCAUGCCAGUUUUGUAGGUCAUACCCGUAUUGUUUGCUUGAUCCGUCGUGCUAGGCCGUAACCUUGCCAGUCCUGUGAGUUGUGGAGCCCAGCCAGAGUUAUUAUGCUGCCAAACCAAGACUUCCGCCGCCAUUCAAUUAGACUUCCGCUGUCAUUUAUUAGCCUUGGGGGUAUGCCAGAUAAUUGUAUUCAUCAAUGAUGUAAUCUCAUUUACAUGUAUUUGAUGAAUAUUCUUGUACCUGGGAUGCUGUAUUAUGGACCUGUUGUGCGUCAGGUGUUAUCCUGGGCUGAUGUACGAAGGCCCCCUGCUCCAUGUGGAUCGGGGUGCCACAAGACGAUGUUUUCAGCAGAAUUGCCAUGUUCUUAUUUUUGUGCAGAAAUAAAAGUUCUCGGAAUGACCUGCAAAUGAACGGAGAAUUAUUUUGGAAUACAUAAAAAACUAGAAGAAAGAACCACGUCAGGGGGCCCACACCUUGUCCACGAGGGUGGGGGCGUGCCCUACCCCCUGGGCGCGCCCCCUGCCUCGUGGGCCCCCUGAUGCUCCACCGACCUCAACCUUGACUCCAUAUAUUCACUUUCAGGGAGAAAAAAAUCAGAGAGAAGGAUUCAUCGCGUUUUACGAUACGGAGCCACCGCCAAGCCCUAAACUCUCUCGGGAGGGCUGAUCCGGAGUCCGUUUGGGGCUCCAGAGAGGGGAAUCUGUCGUCAUCAACCUUCCUCCAUCACCAAUUUCAUGAUGCUCACCGCCGUGUGUGAGUAAUUCCAUCGUAGGCUUGCUGGACGGUGAUGGGUUGGAUGAGAUUUAUCAUGGAAUUGAGUUAGUUUUGUUAGGGUUUGAUCCCUAGUAUCCACUAUGUUCUGAUAUUGAUGUUGCUAUGACUUUGCUAUGCUUAAUGCUUGUCACUAGGGCCCGAGUUCCAUGAUUUCAGAUCCGAACCUAUUAUGUUUUCAUCAAUAUAUAAGAGUUCUUGAUCCUAUCUUGCAAAUCUAUAGUCACCUAUUAUGUGUUAUGAUCCGUUAACCCCGAAGUGACCAUAAUCGGGAUACUUACUGGUGAUGAUCGUAGUUUGAGGAGUUCAUGUAUUCACUAUGUGUUAAUGCUUUGGUCCGGUACUCUAUUAAAAGGAAGCCUUAAUAUCCCUUAGUUUCCACUAGGACCCCGUUGCCACGGGAGGGUAGGACAAAAGAUGUCAUGCAAGUUCUUUUCCAUAAGCACGUGUGACUAUAUUCAGAAUACAUGCCUACAUUACAUUGAUGAACUGGAGAUAGUUCUGUGUCACCCUAGAUUAUGACUGUUACAUGAUCGAUCGCAUCCGGCAUAAUUCUCCAUCACCGAUCCAAUGCCUAUGAGCUUUUUCUAUAUUGUUCUUCGCUUAUUUACUUUUCCGUUGCUACUGUUACAAUCACUACAAAACCCAAAAAUAUUACUUUUGCUACUGUUACCUUUUGCCACCGUUACCACUACUAUCAUAUUACUUUGCUACUAAAUACCUUGCUGCAGAUAUUAAGUUUCCAGGGGUGGUUGAAUUGACAAGUCAGCCGCUAAUACUUGAGACUAUUCUUUGGCUCCCCUUGUGUCGAAUCAAUAAAUUUGGGUUGAAUACUCUACCCUCGAAAACUGUUGUGAUCCUCUACACUUGUGGGUUAUCAAUUAUCUCCUAGCAUUUGGAUCUUUGGCAAAGGCCUGGUUUGUAACCCUUCAG
rnacentral:lncRNA from 1 species